UUUCUCUCUCCUAUUCACCUUCUUCCUCCCAUUUCACCUUCGCUCAAUCCCUCACUCCGUCAUUCUUUUUCUUUCUUUUUAUCCCUUGUUUAACCAAGCCCCCUCCCCUUCCACUGUUAAACUCACAAGACCUCCCCAUACUUAGCUUUAGGCUUUAAAAUUGAUAAUAAGAAUCACUCCACCAUUUUGUAUUAUUAUUAUAAUUGUAAUGAUUUUGAAAAACUUAAAGUAGAUAUAAUUUUAAAUUUCAUAUAACUUAUAUUUUAUACUCUCAUUUGAAAUGAAAAAUGAGUGAUCUUAUAGUUACGUGUGAAUUUCAUUUUUUGUGAUUUCACUAAAUUUUCGACUCAACUUUAAGGAUGAUUUCUUUCUUUAUUAUAAUUCAGUGACGGUCGAAAUUUUAUCAUUUUUUUCAUCGGAAAAUUCCUUUUCACAGUUAAAAAUGGUGGCUUACACAUGAUGCCUCUCCACUUUUCUUAUCACUUUGUCAUUUUAAUCAAAAAAUAAACACCGACUAAAAUAAAAUCCUCCAUCAUGAAAAUUGAGAUGAUUUCAUUGAGGGCUAUGUCCUUUGUUUUUCAAAGCUUCAACGUCAAUUGGAUUUGGGGAAGCUGGACAAGAUGGGUUUUAUAAAGAAUUUUAAAAAUUAUUUGUACUGACAUUUUAAAUUUGUUUUUGCCAUUAAUCUUUCUCCUUUACGUGCGCCAGUUACGUGAAUACAAACAUAGGCUGAAUUAUGUGUCAAAUUUGCUCAUUUACAAUGGUCAAUCUUUAUAACUUUUGUGGUGUACUAGGACGCUCGCAUACAUAAGGUGUCAUUCAGUAAAUUCGGAUAAUUUCAAUGAUAACUUUAUGUCUUUUCUCUCUUUUUUUAUUAAAAAAAAAAAAAGGAAUGAGGGCUUCGUUUUGCAAGACAAUGAAGAUGGUUAUAUUCACCACAAGAGUUGUGGUGAAGUGAUAUGAUAAGUACUUUGUUGUGAUGGAGUAGCUCCUUCAUUCUUAAUUAAAAAUCUCAAUUUCGAGUCCACUCCACCCCCACCCCACCCCACCCCACCCCCACUAGGUGCAAAUUUUCCUUUGCUAAGGAGCGUAUUAUCCCCAAUGUGAAACUUUCUUGUAUGAAUUCGAAUUUAGUCAAACUUCAAUAUGGGUAUCAAAUACUCUAUUGGAAACGCCCCACCAAAAAAGAGUGAUAUAUUUAUAGGAAAAAGGACAUGGGCUGUCCAUUUUUUAAAAAAAUGACCCACAUUUGAAAAGGUGGACAUGAGUUUUUUAGUUGGCUAAACUAAUUUCUUUUUUAGUCAUUUGGCUCAAUUGGUCACAUGCAGUCUCUAUACUCAAUUGAUACACUUUUAUACUAAAUUGAUACACUUUUAUACUAUAUUGAUACACUUUUUAAAAAAGAGAAAGAAUUUUUAUGUAAGUACGUGCAGUCCCUAUACCCAAUUGAUAUUCUUUUAUACCAUAUUAAUACACGUUUAUACUACAUUGAUACACUUACAGUGUCCAUAUACUCAAUUGAUACUCUCUUAUAUUAGAUUGAUACAUUUUUAGAAUGCAUGUAGAAAAUAUAUAGAGUCGUAUAAAAUAUAUAUAUAUAAAUAAUAAAUAUAGUUAAAAAUUGUAUAGAAUGUGUAUAAAAAUGCUAUAAUUAUUAUAUAGAAUAUGUAUAUGUAUAGAAACUGUAUCAUUAUUAUAUAUAAAUAUAUAUCUUUAACAAUUGUAUUUUAUAAAUAUGUAUAAUUCAUGUCACUUUAUUUCCAGUAAUCAAAAGUUUGCAUUACACUAUGCUGUUAAAUACAAGGAUAUUUAUAAGAUACAGGCACCAAGUUUUUUUUUUUUUUAAAGUUUUAUUUUUACCCGGAGGAACUAAGGCCUCUGUUGUUAGCUAGUUAAUUAAUCUAUGUUGUCCUUGAUGGAAAAAAGAAGGUUCAAAUUUGUGUCGUGUAGUUGUUUAAACAUAAGAAUUUCAUUUAAACUUUUAUUCGAAUGAUAACUUUCUACUCUGAUCACUUGAUUCGAACAACAGAGCACAGAUGUUAGCUGUCAUUAAGAUAAAAAAUGUCAUUCUACAACAUUAAAACGAGCGAAAUAAUACUGUACCUGUAAACACCUGUCGGUGGCCCAGUACACAAAACGGAAAGGGACGAAUUUUGAAGCUUAAUGGCUAUUUACUGAGUUUUUAAAUUUAAGUGCUAGUUUUGUGGAAUUAUUUUAAUUUUAUGUGUUAUUUUUGUCCUUUCCCCAUAUUUAUAUUCAUAUUGGAUUUGUGUCGGAGCAAGUCCGAUAAAUUUCGGUGAUAAAAGUAGAUAAUUUUGUGUGGACUAAAAUAAAAUGUCAUUAUCAUUUUUGUUGUCCUUUAUUCACGUUGUUAAAGAUCGAUUUUCGACAUGAGUUAAAUACAAAGGACUUUUCAAAAAUCAUUAUACUUGGGAGUCUUAUUAAAAAUCUAUCAUGAUAGUUUAUUUAUAACAACAGUUUGUGAUGUUAGGCCAAAAUAAAAAAUUUGAGAUCAGUAAGAUUGGUAGAGAAAUAGGUGAGUGGCAAGCGAGAUUUGGAGAGUGACAAGAGAGAUGCUAGAGAGAGGACGAAUACAGAUUGUAUUGAUGAAUUCAAUUUGCGUAUCUUCAAAGAUCCAAACAACAAAAAAUUCGGAAGACUAUCAAUUCAGCUAAUUUUUCUUCUAUUCAUGCACAUAUUUAGGAGAGCGGAUUAUAAUUUGGGAAAUCAAUCCUCAUCAACAAAAUAAAAGUUUAGAUAGUUAACCAACUGAGUUACGUAUUAACAUUUUCCUUCCUGAUAGUUAUUGAGAAUUCACUUUUAAAAUUUUCACUUUUUGUUUUUGUUUUUUGUUUUUUCAUAGUAAUCAUACACACUUUUGCAUCUUUAGUGUUUCAUUGAAAUAAGAAAAGAAAAUCAACAUGGGUUGUGGUGUAGUGGUGAGACUACUUCACCCUAAUUCAGAGGUUUCGGGUUCGAGCCGGCCUGUGCACGAAAAAAAUUCUAUUGAGAGCGUAACCUCAGAAUGGGCCCUGCAGUGCGCAAUCCGGAUUAGUUGGGGCUCCAGUUAGGAUAUCGGACACCGGUCGAAGGGAAAUAAAAAAAAAGGAAAAACAAUCUGUUUUUAUGAAAUCUAUGUUCAACCAAACAUUAAGAGAGAAAUCUUUUAAAUUUUUGCAUAAACUGGAAUACUUGUCAAUUUAGCUAGAUGUUUGAUUAAAUUUCAGUUUCAAAAUUUUUAAACAGAAAUCACCUAUAACUAAACAUACAUUAACUAAAUAAGAUCCUAUAUUACUACCAACUAGGGUUAUGGUGAAGUGGUAACACUACAAGAAAAAGGUUUAUUUAAGAUUAACUUUCAGAGAUGAGUCAGUAAUUUGGUCUCUAAAAGUAUACUUAUUAGGACGAGAUUAAAUUACGGUUCUUAAUAUUAUAUUUUAUUGAAAAGGUAAAAAAUUUGGUCCCUAAUUAUUUUUUAGCUGGUCCCUAAUGUUAAUUGGGAUCUUUGAGAGGGAAAAAUAACGCCAAAAUAAAAUAUUAGGUACCAAUUCUUUUUACUCUUAUUAACAUUACUGGAAAUUAAAGAAGGGAUAUCUUUAUAUUAUUUACCCAAAAAGAAAAAGAGCUCGUCCAGCCGCCUCUCUAGCUAGCAUAUAUGAUCGAGUACUGUACGCCUUCUAUCCUCGAACAAAAUUCAGCUGCUGGUCGCAACAAAUCAAACACUAUAUGCACCAGCAAGUUACCGAUUUUCCAAUUGCUUCUUCAAUUUUGUGGAUUAUUGCAGCCAAUAAUUUUUUCAUAUUUUGGUUUAUCGAUCUAUCGCGAAUUCGAGGUAUGAUUUAGUUUUUGGUUAUUGCAAUAAUAAUUUACCCUAAGACGAUUUUCCAAUCUGAUGGUUAUUGCAACUAGUAAUGUGCCCUAAUCUCUUUCUUCCAAAGUUGUUCUAAAUUAGUCUUAUUUCUAUCCGAAUCUGUUAUUUUUUUUAAUUGUACAACUCAUAAUUCAGUAUGAAAUUUGUCAAUUUGGGGUUGGUCAACUAUCGUCUCUCUAUCGUAUAGCUACUAGGAAUAGCAAUAGCGGGUGUGGAUUGGGGCUGGUUUACUGCUACGCGGGGCAAGGCGUGGUGCGAUAGAGAGCCUUAAAAUUUUAAAACUAUGGUGGUGUGGUGAUGGAAUCGCUGAUAUUUUUGGAAGAAGGUUUGGGUCAGAAAAGUUGUGUUAGUUUUGUUUUCGAACUUUAGAAAAAAUUGAAUUCUUUUUGUCCUUUUUGACACCCUUUUAGUUUCUUUUUGACACCCUUUUAGUUUCUGUUCAUGUGUGUGGUUAACAAAUGCUAUAGGAUGAAAUGCUUAACCACAAUCCUAUGUGUUUUUCCUCAUAUCGAAAUGGUUUUUUACUUUCUAAUUAUAGGUAAAGAUUGAAUUUUUUCUUUUUCUUGGCACCCUUAUAAUUUGUGUUAUGGGUGUGGUUAGCAAAUACUAUAUGGUAAAAUGCUUCAUCAUAAUGUUCUGUGUUUUUUGUCAUGUAAAAUGGAUUUAAAUGUUGUUUUAUUGUUCUUUUUGCUUUCUAAUUUUAGGUGAAGAUUGAAUUUAUUUCUUAUUUUCUUGGCACCCUUUUCGUCUUUGUUCAUGGGUGUGGUUAACAAAUAUCCCUAUAUUAUAAUAGUCCUUUCUAUUUUGUUUUACUCGUAUCAAAAUUGUACAAUGUUGCGCAUUUUAGGCCCAAUAGGUGGACAGAGAAUAUUUUUGCGCAAUUUCACAUAGUUGAAGGGUAUUUUAGGCCCUUUUCCUUUGUUUUUAUAGGUUAUUAGUUGUAAGCUAGUUCUUCUAUUGAGGUUCUUAAUGAUAACUUUAUCAGGUAGGUUACUAGUGAUGUGGAUUUUGAUAAGUAUCCUUGCACAUAAUUUUUAUUAUUUAAUUUUCCUCUGUCUAAUAUUUUAUGUAUUUUACAAGGUUAUGACACCUAGUAAGCAGUGGAUACAAUUUAUUAUUGACCGGGAUAGUAAAAUAUACAAAAGUAAGGUGAAAAAGUUUUUGAAUUAUGCUUUUCGAAAAACAUGACAAGAACAUGAAAUACGAUGUCCAUGUAACAAAUAUUGCAAUACUACUUUAGGAACUCGUACAACAAUUGAGACACAUUUAAAAGUACAUGGAAUACUUCAGAAUUAUACUUUUUGGUUUCAACAUAGAGAACGCUUGGGUGAACCGUUAUCUGAAUCCGAAUCCGAAUCUGAAGAUGAAUAUGAUGUUGAAGUGGAAGAAUGUGAUAGUGAAGAUAAAGUAGAAGAAUUAUUGAGAGAUUUGUAUCCUAAUCUUGAUGGUGGACCUACACACACUAAUUGUGUUGAAGAGGAGCCAAAUGUUAUAGCAGAACAAUUUUAUGAACUAUUGAACGAUUUUGAGCAGCCAUUGUAUCAAAAUUCAAAAGCGUCAAAGUUUUCCACUUUGAUUAAAUUGCUUCACAUCAAAAGUAUGGGUCGUUGGAGUAAUGCAUCAUUUACAAUGUUAUUGAAAAUAUUGAAAGAGGAGUUGUUGCCUGAUGGUGCCGAUUUGCCAAACUCAUAUUAUGAGGCAAAGAAAAUAAUUCGAGAACUCGGACUUUCUUACAAUAAGAUAGAUGUUUGCACUAAUGAUUUCAUGUUUUAUUGGAAGGAAGAUAGCUCACUCGAUUCUUACAAAAUUUGUAGUGAGUCUAGAUGGAAAAUAGAUACCCAUAGCGGAGAAGCAUAGACAAAAAAGGUAAAAAUAUAGCAACAAAGAUUUUACGCUAUUUUCCCUUAAAGACUAGACUUCAGAGGUUGUUUAUGUCUUCAAAGACGUCUACUCUAAUGACAUGGCAUAAGGAUAAAAGGGUUGAUGAUGAAAUAAUGAGGCACCCAGCUGAUUCAAUGGCAUGGAAGUCACUUGAUGAACAUUAUCCUUCAUUUGCUGCCGAGCCCCGUAAUGUUAGACUUGAACUUGCUAGUGAUGGAUUUUAGCCAUUUCGAAAUUCAAAAAAUCACAUAGCAUUUGGCCUGUGAUUUUUAUUCCUUAUAAUUUACCACCUUGGUUGUGUAUGAAACAAGAAAAAUUUAUUUUGUCAAUGCUUAUUCCUGUUCCAAAUGGUCCAGGAGAUGCAAUUGAUAUAUAUCUUCAGCCUUUGAUAGAGGAAUUGAAUGAGUUAUGGGAAAUAGGUGUUGAUACCUAUGACGCAUCAGCUAAAUGGAAUUUUAUGUUGCAUGCAUCUUUGUUAUGGACCAUCAAUGACUUUCCAGCAUAUGAAAAUUUAUCUGGAUGGAGUACCAACGAAAAAUUGGCAUGUCCAUGUUGCAACAAAGACAUUUCCUCAAUUUGAUUGACAAACAUUAAGAAGCAGUGUUUUAUGGGUCAUCGAUGUUACCUUCCUCUUAGUCACAAAUGGAGAUAUGAGAAGCAGUUCUUUGAUGGUACAGUAGAUAAAAGGCCACCCCCAAAAAAUUGUUCUGGUACAAAGAUACUUAAUCAAGUACAAGAUCUUGAAGGACAACAAUUAUCAAGAGAUCUAAAAAAAAGGAAGAAGAUGUCACAUAAAGUUCGAAAAGAUAACUGGAACAAGAAAAGUAUCUUUUUAAACUUCAUAUUGGGAGUAUCUCUAAUUGCGACAUAAUUUGGAUGUUAUGCAUAUUAAAAAAAAUGUGAGGCUUUUAUGGGGACAUUUAUGAAUGUCAAAGGAAAGACUAAGGAUACAAUAAAUACUCGAUUAAACUUGCAAGAGAUGAACAUUAGGCCAAAAUUACACCUCAUCCAAAAAGGGGAGAAAGUUGAAGUUCCAACUUCAUGCUACACAUUACCUCCUGAAGAAAAGCACAAUUUUUGUCUUUUCUUAAAGAAUCUGAAAGUUCCUGAUGGUUUUUCAUCUAAUAUUUCUCAGUGUGUAAACUUAAAAGAUCACAAGAUAUCUCGGUUGAAAAGUCAUGAUUGUCAUGUUCUUCUACAACAUCUACUCCCUCCUGCACUUAGUGGUAUGUUGUCUAAAGAAGUGUAUGAAUCAAUUAUUGAUUUAUCUUAUAUUUUUAGUGUUCUUGGAUCCAAGGAGUUGAGAACUGAUGAUUUGAAACAUAUCGAAGUGAAAAUUUCCAUCACACUUUGCAAGUUAGAAAAGGUCUUUCCUCCUUUAUUUUUUGAUGUCAUGGUGCACUUGCCUAUUCAUUUAGCUACAGAAGCUAAGAUUGCUGGGCCUAUUUAUUAUAGGUGGAUGUAUCUUGUGGAACGAUCGUUGUAUUUUUUGAAAUCUCUCAUUGGUAAUAGGGCAUUCCUUGAAGGUUCUAUUGCAGAGGGCUAUAUUGUAAAUGAGUGUAUGACCUUGUGUUCAGGGUACUUGCAUAAAAUUGAUACAAAAUUCAAUCGGCCUGAAAGAAAUUAUGAUGGGGGUGUAAAAUAAUAUGAUGGAGGUUUAUCUAUAUUUUAUCAACCUGAAAAAAUUUUGGGAGCUAAAAAUCCAUGUGAGAUUUCGACCGAUGAAUCGGAACAAGCACAUAUAUACAUAUUGAAGAAUUGUGAUGAAUUCUUACCAUAUCUCAAGUAUGGGAAGAACACAUGUAGUCUCAUUUUUAUUAUUUCCUUUAGGGUAAUUUUCUUUCUAUAUGAGAUUUAUGAUUCACUUUAAUUUUGUAGAGAAAUUGCACAAACUUAAAAGGAUACUAUUAGACACUUGUCUGAUGCUGAAUGGAAUCGACAAUUUAUUGAAUGGUUAAAAGAUAGGAUAAGUAAUACAUAACCAUAAAAUUUAAUAUUUUAAUAUUAUAUUACUCAUUCUAAAGUAUUUAGUGCAAUCUUAUUCAUAGGUCCCACAACUGCAUAAAGGAGAUGAUAGUCGCACAACUGCAAAAUUUGAGUUCAUCAUAUUGUUCAUGUUCUGGUCGUUUCUUGGUAAAAAAGUUUGAUAGUAUUUGCUAUGCAUUAACUUAUCCCAUAUUUUGAUUAUUGUAGGAUAAAUUUGAGGGUGUUGAACUGACUGAUCAUCGUGAACAUAUUUUGAGAUGGAUGAAUGAGUUAUGAAACAAAUGGAGAGGAUACUUAUAUGGAAAAUAUGUGAAGAAUAAGUCACUUCAACAAGCUCUGAAGAAUAAGUCAUAUGGAAUAGACAAGAAAAAAUGGGAGUGGUUGGUAAAUGAACAUUUUUCUUCUGAAGCUUUUCAGGUAUGCAAGUAAUUUUAUUUGUUGCAACUCAAUGGUUUCUAGAUAGAUUUCCUUGUGGAGAUUUAUGCAACUCCCUUUUGUUUUAUAAUUUUUAUUUGUAUUAUUAAAAUUUAGCUAAUUAUUUUAUAAAUAUAGGUGAAAAUCCAAAGGAAUGUAGCGAACCGAGCUAAGUUGACGAUGCUUCAUCACAUGGGUAGCAAGCCUAUUCAAGAUUUUAUUUUUGAAAAGAUAUUAUCACAUAUUUAUUUUCCUAAAAAAAUAUUUAUGAGGUGUUAUUUGACAUGUUUGUCUUUGAUGUAAAAGAGAGCAGGAAAGAUGGCAAUCCACCAGAUGUGGGAACUAUUUUCUAUGAGAGUCGAAAGAAAUAUAACAAGCUCGUUGAACCUGAAGCAAUUCAAAAACAUGUGCGUUUGGUAAAAUUAAUAAGUAUAUUAGUUACCUGAAAUUUUAUGGAAUAAUGAUAGAACAUAUUUAUUUCUAUAUUUUGCAGGCUCAAAAGUGUUUUGGACCUCAAAAUCAUAGCCAUGUUGUUGCAUUUGGGGGUGGAGUAAUGUAACGCCCCAAAUCUGGUACCCGAAAUGUUACACGGUGCUCAUGACCCCGAAGGACCACAAGCUAACCCAUGACUGAUAUCUGUACCUAUAUACUGCAUAAUGUACUGUAUAAAAGUGGAAACGUGAACUGAAAGACCAUAAGGUUCACAUAAUUGAACUAAAACAUAACAUCUGGUGGGGUCUAAAACACCCAAAACAAAACUAAAAUAACUAUCUAAAAGAUAAUAGUCAGGAAAGCCUCUAAAAUAUGGCUGUCUGAAUAAGGAGUUGAUGGGACAUGUCCCCAACUAACUCCAACCAAUAAACUAAUUAAUGAGAUAAUAAAGAAAUAAUCAUGUCCUCAAAGGAUGAGGACUCACUGCUAGCUCUGACUGCGGAUAUCUGAAAUUUACUGAUGCUCGAGAGCUCGUGUCUCUGAACCUAUGGUAUAGAAACACCAUAGCGCGAAUGCGUCAGUACGACUGAAUAUACUGGUAUGCAUGUGCGUUAGGCUAAAUGUAAGGGAUUCAUAUGCAUGAACAAUAAGAACGGACUAACUAUCAUGAGCGUGAGAAUACACACAUGAGACAUAAUAACUAACACUGAUACCAUGAUAACAUGAUUACUGAAUUUGAAUACUGAUAACAUGACAUAGUGAUAACUAAUAUAACUGAUAACAUGAGUGACUGUAUUUGACAGUCCUAAAUCUGAUGGAACUAACCGAAUUUUGUGUUGUAUCUAAGUUGAUUGUAUCUGACAGUCCUGAAAUCUGAAGAACUAUAUAAGUUCUUUUACUGAUACUGAUACUGAAACUGUGGGAGGUAGUUAUUUAAUCGACAUGCCCCUAAUAUGCCAUUAUGUUUGAGUUGGGGUCUAAUUUGUAACCCUAAUUGGAAGGGUGUCAAUAUCACGCCACUGGUAAGGACAAGCUGUGGGUGACCCUUAUCUGAUAGUGUCCCCAAGAGAGAAUGGUGGGGCUCUUAUCUGAUAGUGCUUGUCCACCCCAUCAACCCUCAUCAGAUAGUAUUGAUGUCUCAGCUUAUGCUGGCUACAUAGUUCUGAAACACAAGGAUGACUUCUAAGGAUCACACCCUUAUCUGACAGUGUGUGUCCCCAUCCUUGGGUUCACUCAGUGCUAAUUCCUACUCCCAUCUGAUUAGACUCUGAACAUGAUUAGUUGAACUGUACGUGGACUGAGUUACUACAUUUCGUUGACUGAUGGAAUACUAUUGAUAUCUGAUAACUGACUGAGUUCAUAAGAACAUGGAGAUUUUCUGAGUCAUAAGACUGUCUGAAGUCUAAGGAUUCAUAGCUUGACUGAGAGUAUUGUGAAAACAUGACAUGGAUCUAGGCACACAACUAAUGUUUCGGGUACAAGUACCCCCAGGACUCAAUGGAAGGAAACUGACAAACAUGACUUACUUGAACACAUGACUAAUAGCAUAAUCCAUAAUUCAUUCACUGAAGCAUUUCAUCAAACAUGUGAUAGGCAUAAAUUUGUAGAUACAUGCGGAUUUCAUGAUAUCAUGCUAGUUGGGCAUUUUCCUUCAUAUAUCCAUUUAAUCAAACACAUUGUAGGCAUAGAAUAUGUAGAUAACAUUAUACAACAAUUAAACAUCAUGGUUCAAUUCUAAUUUCAUCAUUCAAGGGUUUAAUCAUAGGUUGUCAUGAAUCCAUAUAGAGUUUAUUACCUAAUCAUGGAAUAGGAUCCAAUUAUACAUUAUCAAAAUGAAAAAGCUGCCCAAUCAUGAAAUUCAUAAAAAAGAUCCAUAACUUGAAUUUAGAAAAGAGAUUCUUGAACUUCAUGGACGAAAGGGGUCUAUGAAUAAACACUAUGCAUACCUUAGUGAUUAAUUCUUGAAAAAGAAUUGACCUUUCUUGAAUGUUCUUGGAUUGGGAAUCUUAAUUCUUGAAUAUCUUGUGGAAAGUGUGAUGGGGUCUUGAAGUUAAUUGAGAAGAAAUCCUAAGUUUGUUCUUGGGAACAAAGAGGGAGCUUUUAAAACUAAAUACCAAUAGCUAAUUACAUAUUUUUGGUGUUUUAUGUCGUGGGGGGUGAGGUUUAGGGUGAGGGAAAAAGACCAAAAUACCCCUACAAAAUCACUUCUCAGUUACUGAAAUUAUCAGCUGACGAUCAAGACUGAUAAGCCGUCAGAUCUGUGAUAGCCCGUCAGCCCAUGUCAUCACCUGGGAGCUGGUCUAUCUAAGCUUGAAAACAUGGGCUGAUAAGCCGUCAGGUCUGUGAUGGCCCGUCAAACAUGUCAUCACUUGGGAGCUGAAAUCGGUGGGUUUCUGCCUAAGUUUGACGACAUGGAUGAUAAGUUAUCAGAUCUGUGACGGUCCGUCAGAUAUAUCAUCACCUGGGAGAUAAAUUGAUGGGUUUUGCCUAAGUCUGACGACGUGUCUGAUAAGUCAUCAGAUAUGUGACGGCCCAUCAGAUAUGUCAUCACUCAGUUGCCAGGCUGACAUGCUGGAGUAAAAUGAGUAUAACUUUUUGGUCCGAUAUCGGGUUUGGGCGAAAUUGGUAUCGAUAGAAAGCUCACUCGAUUUUCCACGUGAAAAAGUGAAAAUAUUAAAAAUACCACAUGUACAAAAGUGGAUUCAUAGUUCAAAUAAAUUUCUAUAAUUCUCGAGAUGAUUUCGAGCUAGGAAAAAAGGAAGGGUAUUACAAUAUCUCCCCCUUGAGAACAUUCGUCCUAGAAUAAGACUGAGAAUGGGGGGAAGGACAUAAACUGACAUACAUACUGAACAUGAGUAACUAAAAUAUGAUCUCAUAACUGACAUGACUGAUAACUGAACAUAUCAUACUGAACAUGCAUAUCUGAUGCAUGUGUAAUUGAUUCAUGAAUGCAUGACUGAAUGUUCUGAGGAACUAAGUUUCUCACAAUGAGAAUGCAUGGCUUAUGCAUAAUUAUAUAUAACUAAACUGAUACAUGAAUGCAUGACUGAAAUACAAUGGUACUUGAUACCAAGUUGUGACAAACACCGAACAUGAAACUGAGUAAGCUUAAGGAGAACUGUUACCUUGAGCUUGAUCCGACUAUCAUCUCCUUUAUGAUCCGACUAUCAUCUCCUUUAUGCAGUUGUGCGACCUAUGAAUAAGAUUGCACUAAAUACUUUAUAAUGAGUAAUAUAAUAUUAAAAUAUUAAAUUUGAUGGUUAUGUAUUACUUACCCUAUCUUUUAACCAUUUAACUAAUUGUCGAUUCCAUUCAGCAUCAGACAAGUGUCUAAUAGUAUCCUUUUAAGUUUGUGCAAUUUCUCUACAAAAUUAAAGUGAAUCAUAAAUCUCAUAUAGAAAGAAAAUUACCCUAAAGGAAAUAAUAAAAAUGAGACUACAUGUGUUCUUCCCAUACUUGAGAUACGGUAAGAAUUCAUCACAAUUAUUCAAUAUGUAUAUAUGUGCUUGUUCCGAUUCAUCGGUCGAAAUCUCACAUGGAUUUUUAGCUCCCAAAGUUUUUUCAGGUUGAUAAAAUAUAUAUAAACCUCCAUCAUAUUAUUUUACACCCCCAUCAUAAUUUCUUUCAGGCCGAUUGAAUUUUGUAUCAAUUUUAUGCAAGUACCCUGAAUACAAGGUCAUACACUCAUUUGCAAUAUAGCCCUCUGCAAUAGAACCUUCAGGGCAUGCCCUAUUACCAAUGAGAGAUUUCAAAAAAUACAACCAUCGUUCCACAAGAUACAUCCACCUAUAAUUAAUAGGCCCAGCAAUCUUAGCUUCUGUAGCUAAAUGAAUAGGCAAGUGCACCAUGACAUCAAAAAAUAAAGGAGGAAAGACCUUUUCUAACUUGCAAAGUGUUAUGGGAAUUUUCACUUUGAUAUGUUCCAAAUCAUCAGUUCUCAACUCCUUGGAUCCAAGCACACUAAAAAUAUAAGAUAAAUCAAUAAUUGAUUCACACACUUCUUUAGACAACAUACCACGAAGUGCAGGAGGGAGUAGAUGUUGUAGAAGAACAUGACAAUCAUGACUUUUCAACCCAGAUAUCUUGUAAUCUUUUAAGUUUACACACUGAGAAAUAUUAGAUGAAAAACCAUCAGGAAAUUUUAGAUUCUUUAAGAAAAAACAAAAAUUGUGCUUAUCUUCAGGAGGCAAUGUGUAGCAUGCAGUUGGAACUUCAACUUUCUCCCCUUUUUGGAUGAGGUGCAAUUCUGGCCUAAUAUUCAUCUCUUGCAAGUCUAAUCGAGUAUUUAUUGUAUCCUUGGUCUUUCCUUUGACAUUCAUAAAUGUCCCCAUAAAAGCCUCACUUUUUUUUUUCAAUAUGCAUAACAUCCAAAUUAUGUCACAAUAAGAGAUACUCCCAAUAUGAAAGUUUAAAAAGAUACUUUUCUUGUUCCAGUUAUCUUUUCAAACUUUAUGUGACAUAUUCUUCCUUUUUUUUUAGAUCUCUUGAUAAUUGUUGUCCUUCAAGAUCUUGUACUUGAUUAAGUAUCUCUAUACCAGAACAAUUUUUUGGGGGUGGCCUUUUAUUUACUGUACCAUCAAAGGACUGCUUCUCAUAUCUCCAUUUGUGACUAAGAGGAAGGUAACGCCGAUGACCCAUAAAACACUGCUUCUUAAUGUUCUUAAUACUCACAUAAACUGUUUUCUACUCACAUAAACUGUUUUAUAGGUUUAAUUGUGAAUGAUGCUUUUCAAAUAGCAGCGAUAGUUGAGAAGCUACCAGCUUUGUGGAAAGACUUCAAAAAUUACUUAAAUCAUAAAUGCAAGAAGAUGACUGUUGAAAAUCUUAUUGUCUGACUUCGUAUUGAAGAGGAUAAUAAAGCUGCCAAAAGAAGGUCAAAGGGGAAUUCUACAAUUAAUGGAGCACAUAUUGUAGAAGAUGACUAAAACAAUUCUAAGAAAAUGAAAAAAGCUGAACAAGGAAGCAAUCAACCCAAGAAAAAGUUCAAGGGAAAAUGAUUCAACUAUGGCAAGAUUGGCCACAAGUCCAUAGAUUGUCAUGCCCCAAAGAAAGGAAAGAAGAAGGAUCAAGAAAAUAUGAUUGAAUCCAACAAAGAAUGUGAUGAUCUGUGUGCUAUGUUCUCAGAAUGCAACUUGACGGGGAAUCCUCGCGAAUGGUGGAUUGAUUUUGGGGCCACCCUCCAUGUAUGUGCCAAGAAGGAUUUGUUUUCGUUAUUCGCUCUGGCUCAAGUAGAAGAAACAAUCUACAUGGCUAACUCCGCUACGGCUAAGGUAUAAGGAAUAGGAAAAAUUUGCUUAAAGAUAACUUCCGGAAAGGUCUUGACAAUAAACAAUGUCUUGUAUGUUCCGGAGUUAAGUUGGACUUUAAUUUGUGUUUCACCUCUAGAUAAGAAUGGAUUCAAAUGUAUAACCGUUUCUGGAAAAAUUAUAAUUAGCAAAGGAGAGAUGUAUGUAGGAAAAGGCUAGCUGACUGAAGGACUUUAAUGUAAUGACUGUUGAAAUAAAUAAAAGUUCGAAUUCUUCUUAUUUUCUUGAAUCUUAUGAUUUAUGGCAUGAACAUUUAGGUCAUGUUAAUUACAAAACGUUAUGAAAACUGAUUAACUUAGAAGUUUUUCCAAACUUUGAGUGCAAUAAAUCAAAGUGUCAAACGUGUGUGGAAUCGAAGUAUGCAAAGCAUCCUUAUAAGUCCGUUGAAAGGAAUUCCAAUCCCUUAGACUUAAUGCACACUGACAUUUGUGAUAUGAAGUCAACACCAUCACGUGGUGGGAAAAAGUACUUCAUAACUUUUAUUGACGAUUGCACUAGAUAUUGUUAUGUCUACUUGCUAAAUAGUACGGAUAAAGCAAUAGAUGGAUUUAGGCAAUAUAAAACUGAAGUUGAAAAUCAGUUAGACAAAAAGAUCAAAAUGAUAAGAAGUGAUAGGGGCGGAGAAUAUGAAUCUCCCUUUGCAUAAAUAUGUGUAGAGAAUGGAAUAAUCCAUCAAACUAUGACCCCAUAUUCACCUCAAUCUAAUAGAAUUGUGGAAAUAAAAAACCAAACUUUGAAGAAAAUGAUGAAUGCCUUACUUAUAAGUUCUAGUUUACCGCAAAACUUGUGGAGGGAGGCUAUCCUUACGGCCAACCAUAUACUCAAUAAAGUUUUCCAUAGUAAGACAAUCAAUUCCUUAUGAAAAGUGGAAAGGAAGAAAACCCAACUUAAAAUAUUUCAAAGUGUGGGGGUGUCUAGCAAAGGUCCAAGUUCCUGUGCCUAAAAGGGUUAAGAUAGGACCUAAGAUGGUGGACUGUGUGUUUAUUGGAUAUGCUAAAAGUAGUAAAGCAUGUCGGUUUUUGGUUCAUAAAUCUGAACAUCUGGAUAUAAAUGAAAAUACGAUAAUUGAAUCAGAUAAUGCUGAAUUCUUUGAAAACAUUUACCCAUAUAAAAUUAGACAUGAACAGUCUAGUAGAGGAUCUAAACGACCUCGUGAUGAACCAAUUGAGAAUGAACAUAAUGAAGAAAAUCCAAGACGUAGUACACGUCAAAGAACGUCUACUUCGUUUGGAUUGGAUUUUGUGACAUUUCUUUUGGAAAAUGAGCCUCAAACAUUUAAGGAAGCGAUGGCAUCUUCAGAUUUAUCCUUUUGGAAAGAGGCAAUCAAUAGUGAUAUAUAUUCAAUCUUAAGCAACCAUACAUGGGAAUUGGUUGACCUUCCUUCCAAAAAUAAACCUUUAAGUUCUGAAUGGAUCUUCAAAAGAAAGAUGAAAGCAGAUGGUACUAUUGACAAAUACAAGGCAAGACUUGUAGUAAAAGGCUUCAAACAAAAAGAAGGACUUGAUUACUUUGAUACAUACUCUCCAGUAACAAAGAUAACGUCACUUCGAAUGUUAAUUGCCUUGGCUGCGGUAUAUGGUCUUGAAAUCCAUCAAAUGGAUAUGAAAAUCGCUUUCCUAAAUGGAGAAUUGGAGGAAGAAAUUUACAUGGAACAACCUGAGGGUUUUAUGGUUCCAGGGAAGGAGAAUAAGGUGUGUAGACUUAUUAAUUCAUUGUAUGGACUAAAGCAAGCACCUAAACAAUGGCAUGCCAAGUUUGAACAAACCAUGUUGGCAAAUGGAUUCAAAAUAAAUGAAUGUGAUAAAUGCGUUUAUAUUAAAGACACUCCAAAUCACCAAGUCAUUGUAUGUUUAUAUGUGGAUGAUAUGUUGAUCAUCAGUAGAGACAUUUCUGACAUAAAUGUAACAAAACGAAUGCUCGAGAGCAAGUUUGAUAUGAAAGACCUUGGAGUUACAGAUGUGAUCUUAGGUAUAAGAAUCCAUCGAACUCUAUAAGGGUUGGCAUUGUCACAGUCUCAUUAUAUCGAAAAGGUACUUGACAAGUUCAAGUAUAUGAAAUUCGGUAUUGCCAAGACUCCAUCGGAUGCGAGCUUUGCUCUUCGAAAGAAUGAAGGUGAAAGUGACUCGCAAUUGGAGUACGCAAGAGUAUUGGGAUGUUUAAUNNNNNNNNNNNNNNNNNNNNNNNNNNNNNNNNNNNNNNNNNNNNNNNNNNNNNNNNNNNNNNNNNNNNNNNNNNNNNNNNNNNNNNNNNNNNNNNNNNNNNNNNNNNNNNNNNNNNNNNNNNNNNNNNNNNNNNNNNNNNNNNNNNNNNNNNNNNNNNNNNNNNNNNNNNNNNNNNNNNNNNNNNNNNNNNNNNNNNNNNNNNNNNNNNNNNNNNNNNNNNNNNNNNNNNNNNNNNNNNNNNNNNNNNNNNNNNNNNNNGUAUCUUAAAUACACUUAAGACUAUGCCUUGCAUUAUAAUAAAUAUCCUGCGGUACUUGAAGGAUAUAGUGAUGCAAAUUGGAUCACCGGAUCGAACGACGUAAAAUUCACAAGUGGAUAUGUAUUUACUAUCAGUGGAGGAGCAAUUUCUUGAAAAUCAUCCAAAUAGACUUGUAUCGCUCGCUCUAUAAUGGAAUCUGAAUUUAUCGCAUUAGAUAAAGCCGAUGAAGAAGCAGAAUGGCUCCAAAAUUACUUAGAAGAUAUUCUGUAUUGGCCCAAGCCAGUGGCACUAGUAUAUAUACACUGUGAUAGCCAAGCGGCAAUAGGUAGGGCAGGGAGCAUGAUGUAUAACGGUAAAUCUCAUCAUAUAAGAUGAAGACAAAAUACCGUUAGAGAACUUCUCUCUAGUGGAAUUAUCAUUGUAGACUAUGUAAAGUCAAAGGAUAAUGUGUCAGAUCCACUUACAAAAGGUCUAUCUAGAGAAGGAGUAGAAAGGACAUCCAAGGGAAUAGGUUUAAGGCCUAGGACAAGUCAGCACGGCGGUAACUCUACGUAGCAGACUGGAGAUCCCAAGAGCUAGGUUCAAGGAGAUCAAACAAAGUUGUGUCUGGAAGGUUCAACAUUGUCAAUUACCCAACCCAUUCUCAUGAUGUAGACGAUGUAUAGUAAAAACAAGGAUAAGACUUAAGGUUAAAAGUCUUUUAAUGAUUAUCUAAAUUUGGCAGAUUUGACCAAACAGUUUUAAUCUACAGGAUUGAACGUUUAGAAAUCACCUAUGUGAGGGCGAAGUGGAAGCCACUUCGAAGAGAAUGUUAGUAAAGGCCUAUUCUUUAAGCUCUCAUAAAACCGGAACGUGUUCAUGGCUGAAAAGAAUAAAACCAUGAGAACCAUAAAAGUUAAAAGGCUGGUUGUGUGACAUGUAUUGUCUAGGUGUACAUUAAAGCUCGACGGUUUAAAGAUAUCAAAUCUACCCGAGUGCAUCCGAUGCAUGUUCACUACGGAAAGUUCAAAGGGAAAUCCACUUAUCCAGAUGCAAUCAGUUUUUGCUUGAUGAUCACAUACUUGUUCGUAAAACUUUUACAAAAAAUAGUCAUUCUCCACUCAUGUGGGGGAUUGUUGGGUUCAUAGUAAAUGAGAAGUGUGAAUGGAAGAUGGAGAAAAACCAAAUGAAAGAGAAAAAUUGAGAUCACACCAAUAUGAAAAGUGUACUCAAAAAAUAGGAAAGCUUACUAAAUUCUCCCACAUUGGUGGGAGAAAGAAGCUUUAAAGUGUUUAUAUUGUGAAAUACACUCCCACAUGAAUAAGUGAGACAAAGAAUAAGAGAUACCUCGCGUCGUCGUCGUCGUCGCUCGCUCGGCUCGGCUUCAGAUUUAGAUUUGGCAAAUGAUCGAUGAGAUCUAUCUUUUUGGACAAACUUUAUUUGAAUUCCAAAGAAUGCCAAGGAAAAAUGCAGUAAAUUUUUACUGCAGAGUUUCGGACCUCCAUUUAUAUAUACAUGCAGUAACAGUUGCAUUGUUUCAAGUGAACUGAUGCAUUGUUUUCGAACUGGUGCUUCAGAAAUGAUACAUUAUUCUGAACUGAGGCUAUAGAAGGUUGCAAUAUUUCGAAAUGAUGCUUCAGAAGGAUGUAAUCCUUCAAUGAAGUGACACACUGAUUCAUGAAAUGAGAUGACUGUUCAGGAAAAGAUGCAAUCUUUGAUGAACAGACAUGAACUUACAGCAAAGGUGUAACCUUUGGAGUGAACCAUUGCCUCUUUUCAGAAGAGGCAUGUUAUGACUAUAUAAACCUGCUUUAAUCCACAGGUUUUGAUACGAAAAUUUCAAAAUACAAAAUUACUUCUUCUCUUCCAAAUUACUCAGUGUGAUCAAUCAAAACGUUCUGUGCGUUCAAAGAUAUUCCAACCGUUUGAGGUACUGCUACAGUUGGUCUGUUUAGCCAUUUUAUCCUGGUAGGAAAAAUUCCACUACCUCGGAUACAGUGAGGGGAAUUAUUUACUUAAGGAAACUCCGUCAAUUCGGACGACUUGGCUAUUUUCUGUUUCAUCUUAAUUUCUGAAAAAAUAAAAUAUAACUCUUGGAAAGGUCAUUUUGAUCUUGUGUUAAGGGUAUUUGAUAUACUUCAUUGUGUUCUUAUUUAUACUUGAAUUCUAGUUGAAGUUAUUGUCCUGCAUAUACUGAUUCUGUGUACCCGAAGUACAAACGAGAAAUAACAACCAGUUAACUGAACUGAACUACUUAGAUUUUCGGAAGAUAUCAUUUAUACUAUUGACGUGAAUUACAAAUGAAUCACAGCCAAACUUUAAAGUAAAUUAAGUAGCCCAUGACGAGUGCUAUUUGCUGCUGUUUAAAUAUAUCAGUCAUUAGCAAACAGUCCCUACUUACAAAAUGAUGAGGCGUACCCUGAUAAUUUUGGUAUAAAUGCUUGAGCAUACUUUAUUUAAGAUUAAAAGAUUUAAAGAAUACUUUGAUAUAUUAUACGUAUUUUUAAUUAAAAUCAAGAAACUAAAAAUUUUCUCUCAUUUUCAUAAAAAUCGUGCCUAUUCAAAUUAUAAAACUAAGACAGUAUUUAAAAGAGAGUAGUACAUAAUAUGAUGAAUUUUUACUUCAUAAAUGUACGUAAAACUUAAAAUUGCAAGUUUUUUUUGUAUUUCUUAGUUCAUAAUUAUAAACUUACAACUGAAAGUUUAUUCAUAUAACAUUUUUUUUAAGAAAAAAAAAAAAUCUUUCCCCUUAUGUCUGCUUUAGUAUCUUUUGGCUUGAUAUCUAAUUGCAUGAUAUGUCAUGUGUAUUUUAUCUUCUCAAGAUUUUUAACUUAAAAGUUUAUUGGUUCAAACAUGGAGUUUGUAGAUAUAGCAUUAAACUAGUGCAUUUGUACCAGUCUAUUAUUGCAGUAAAUCGGUUGCGAAGACUAAAACUGACAUGAAAUUAUAUUGGGUUAUCUGUCAAAAAAUUCAUGAAAGCUUCAUUGGUGGGAGAGUUUAGUAGACUUUCCUCAUUUGAGUACAGUUUCCAUUUUAGUGUGGACUCACUUUUCCUCCACUAUUUUUUCCCUCCAUUUUUCAUUCACACACAUUUACUUUGAACCCAACAUACUAUUGACGUGAAUUACAAAUGAAUCACAGCCUAACUUUAAAGUAAAUUAAGUUGCUGAUGACGAGUGCUAUUUACUGCUGUUUAAUUCUAUCAGUCAUUAGCAAACAAUCCCUACUUAUAAAAUGAUGAGACGUACCCUGAUGAUUUUGCUAUAAAUACUUGAGCAUAAGACCACAUCUAACAAAUCAUUUCAUCCUCAUCUACCUUACUAUAACAAAAUGAUGAGAACUAGAGAGACAGCAAUUAGUCUUUUGAUUCUUGCUUUGUUCCUCCUUAAUGUCUCUGCCUAUUUAUCUCUUCCCUUUCAUCUUCCAACCAAUAAUGAAACCUUUGGCCUUGAAUCAUACCCACAAGGACGAUGUGGAAGACAAGCUGGUGGUACAAAAUGUCCUACUGGAGCAUGUUGUAGUAUAUCUGGUUGGUGUGGAACCACAUCAGACUAUUGUACUCCUAGAAAGUGUCAAAGUCAAUGUGUUUUUCCACCCCCACCAUCAUAUCCAGAAGGACGAUGCGGAGAACAAACUUCUUUUAAAAGAUCAUGUCCUUCUGGACAGUGUUGCAGUAUAGCUGGUUGGUGUGGAAGCACAGGAGCCUAUUGUAAUCCUGGUUGGUGUCAAAGUCAGUGCAAAACUAUAACCUCGCCCACCAAGAAUCGCAUGAGAGGCAUUGAAAGCUUCCUGCUCAAUGCUCUCUAGAUGCUUGCUACCUUCUAUAUUCCCUAGAGGAUGUACUUUUACUCCUCUUUUGGGACUGGUUUAUGUGUUUGAUUAUUAACGUGUGUAUUAUUAAUGCAUAUUCCUCAGAACUCACUUGUGAGAUUUUACUGGGUAUGUUUUUACUAUAAUUAUAAUGCAUAUCUAAUGCAUUACUUAUCAAUAAAACAAAUAAAGGACUUUUGUGUAAAUUAAAAAUAGCAAAUGAAGGUCUGUUGUAUGAGUUCUUUUCCCUCAUUUUUCAUCUAUAUUUAUUCAUCAUAUAUAUAGUUGGAAAAGGAUGAUAGAAGAAAAUCUCAACUGAUUUACAUAAUACAUUAAAGAAGAUACUUUUCUUUUUCAUCAAACAUAUCAUCACUCCGGGCCAGUAUCCCACUGUUUAAUUAAAUUGGACCUUCUACAUUUUCAUCGAGAAUCAAACUUUUGUAUUACAAUGGGAACAACAACAAUAAUUAACUUCAUCUUCCUCUCUUCCUCUUCGGCUCUUCAUGUUCAUCACCAACACUAUGAAUUUCUAUCAAAAUACUUGACAUUUCAUCCUAUUACUGCAUGUUUGUCUGUUUCUUUAUAGAAAAUAUUAGCAGCCAUCGUAAUAAAACUCAAAAAAUUAUCAUCAUUCGGAAGAUUCCCAGAGACUAUGACUACGAAAUUUGAUCCAAAUUGUAAUUUAUAUGUUAUGUUUAGCAAAUCAGAAAAAAACUUUCUACCUUCACGAGAUUGGGAUAAGGCUGCAUAUAUAUUAUCUUCUCUAGACUCCACUUAUAGAAUUACACUGGAUAUAUUAUUUUUAUUGUAAAUAAGGGAGGAAUUUGUAUGUUUAGUAAUAUAGGGUCUAAUUAUUUAGUGUUGGUGUUAUUAUGCAUUUUAAUAUUAAAAUCUUAAUUUGCAUGAUAACUUAUGGACAUAAAGUGGAGAAAGUGGUGUCAUUAUAUUGAUAACUCUUGUAACUUCUAACACUUUAUUUGUGCAUAAACAACCACAUUAUGUCUUGUAAUUCAUAUGACCAUUGGUUGUUGUAACUUCAUGGUCAUUAGUUCCAUGUAACAUAUGUAACAACAAGACUAUUUAUCUACCCACAUUACUCUAAUUGUUAAUGCAUGGUGGUAGAAUGUGGCCUUUAGUAAUUUGUAACUGCUCUCAUUAUUUUGCUGUAACUCUCAUGGCUAUUAGUGCCAUUAGUUUCUUGUAACUCUUGUAACUAAAGACUAUUGAUCUUUCCUCUUUAAAACCCUUCUUUGUUCUUCCUAUUCAAUACAAGGAUGAAUACCUCAUCUAUAAAUAGUGGAGGUAGUCUUGCAUGUUAUUGCAUGAACAAGGAAACAUGAUAAAUGUGAAAAAGAUUAUAGUGUGUAGAAGUGAAAGAGAGAGUUGAGACAAGAAAAAUAUUCUAAGUCUACAACUAUAUUCACUAUACAAAACAGAGUAAUUAUAUUAAAGAAAGAAAGAGUUGAGACAAAGACAAUAUUCUAAGUUUUUAACUAUAUUCACCAUACAAAGAGAGUAAAUAUAUGUUGAAGGAAGGUGUUCUUAUGGUGGAGCUUUGGACUCUUCAACUAAGUCGGGGUUGUUUGAGUUAUACAUCGUUGAUGGGGUAGCUGUUGUAUCCUGGAGGGGACAAGUCAUGAGAUAUACUGCUGGAUCAAUGUAGAUUAUGUCGCAGUGGGCUUGAAUCUCCUUAAAGAGAGCAAAAUAUCCGUGCCUCAUCGAAGAAGAAGAUUAUUUUAUUUUCUUCACUUUUACUCAUUUUAUUUUUUAACUGUAAUCAUUUACUGCAAUUUUUUGUAUAUUAAACCAACAUUUAGUUAUAGGAUGAUUUUCUGUUAAAAACAUUGAAAUUGACAUUUAAUCAAAAACAUCUAGCUAGAAUAACUAGUUUUCUAGUUUAUGCGAAAAUUUAAUCGAUUCCUCUCUUGAUGUUGGUUGAAAAUAGUUUUUGUAAAAAUAUAAUUUUCUUUAUUUCAAUCAAACACUAAAGAAGCAAAAGUGUAUUUGAUUGCUAUGAAAAAUCAAAAACCAACAACAAAAGAAAAAAGAUUUAAAAAAGUAAAUGCUCAGUCACUAGGAGGAAGGAGAAUGUUUAGCAUUUCCAAGAUCACAAGUUUUUUAUUUUUAAAAAAAGAUUAUAAAUUUUGUAUCCAAUUAAAUAAAUAGGAUCACAUUACAUGAAAUUAGUUAUGGAAUUUAUCGGAAAUAUCUAGCUAAUCCGUUGCUAGAAAACUACCUAGCUAAUUGAACAUUUUUAUAAUCAACCUCUAAUUUGUAGCUAAAUAGAACUAGCAUGAAAUAUUAUUUUCAGUUUAAGUUAUCUAUAUUGUAAAUGUGAUUUAUUUUAACAUUAUCUUUAGUUAUUUUUUUUAUUUAAUCAAAUAUCAACCAUUAUCUUUUAAUUAUGGCAUAUAUCUUUUAUCCACACAAAAACUUUGAGGAAAAUAGAGAGUAACCCUAAUAUGCAUGUCACAAUCAAUCAUGUUAAAAUAAAAGGACGAUUUCUAAUUGCUAUCAUUAGCAUUUGGCAGGCUGCUCUUAUUAACAUCCAUCCUUCGUUGCCUACUAGAUUCAAGUGGACCAUUAGUUGAUUGCUAGUUUUAUUAUAAAUGGCGAUGACACAACCGUACAUUCGUCUUAUUGCUAGCCUUAUUAUAUAUGAAAAUAACGGCCACGGAUUUCUUCACUUUCUGUGUCUUUUUCGUACAACUAUUUUUUUUGUUUUUGUUUCUUUGCUAUGAUGAGUAGUAAUUGAAAAAAAUGUAACAAAAAAACAAAGAAGAAAAAGAAGAAGGAGGAGGAGGUGGAGGAGGGAGAAAUAUAACUUGAUUUUAGACUUUUGUCUUUUUUUGCUUCACAAAUUCUUUGGGCAUAAUGAAUUACAUUUCAUGUUAGGCCAUAUGAUUUUUAUUCGUCUAUGCGCUAAUCCAAUCUCUUUUGAUUUCAUCUUUCAUCAUCUUAUAAAAUAUCUCACUUAUUCACUAAAUACUAAUGUAUAUUUGAUACAAUUUUCUAGAUAUCUCCCACAUUUUGAUGUACAUUUUCACUUUUCUUUACUAUCUAAUUUAUUAUUAAGGAAAUAAUGUACUGUGAUUGAGAGUUUCAAUUCAAUGAUAAGAUUAUAAUAGUCUCGUUCUUCAUACAGUGUAAAUUUACAAUAAAUGAAGUACACCAUAACAACAUGCAUGUAUUUUCUUUUCGGAAAAGACAUCAUUCCCACCCCAUACUAUACAAGAAAAGUUUAAGCCACACCUAAAUUGUAUAAGUGACCUAUUACACACCUUAACUAUAUAAAAGUGAUAUUAUUACCUCUCCGCGACCCCCAUUCUAAGGCGCGUGUGUUACACUUAUUUUAGGCGCGUCCAGCCUAUUAAAUAACAAAAGUAAACGGCUAAAAACAUUAAGGGAAAAGGCAUCGUUUCCACCCCAAACUAUAGUCGAAAAGUCGAAUCAACACCUAAACUAUAUAAGUGACCUAUUACACACCUUAACUAUAAACAAGUGAUACUUUUUACUGACGUGGCAGCGCGUGUAAAACACUACACCACAUGCAAGUGGUGGUAGCCUGACAGGGUGUAAAUAGUUUCACUUUUUUAUAGUUUAGGUGUGUAAUAGGUCACUAGUAUAGUUUAGAUGUGGCUUCGACUUUUCGGGUAUAGUUUGGGGUGGAAACGAUGCAUUUUCCCUUUUAUAUUCUGUAAACAUAACAAAUAAGAAUAAAAAUCUAGAAAAAAAAAAAACCAACGAUGUUGGUCACAUCAGCUUCCUCGUUCCAAGAAUUAUGGGAGUUUUAUAUAUUUUUUUAACCUUGUUGUUUUAUGUGGAGUCUACGAGGUACGAGGAUUAUGGUUUUGAUGAUCGACACUUGACCAGGUUCAUGUUAAUUGUGAAUCAAGUUCUUGAUUAUUGUUGGACUGGUCAAUUUAGUUAUGUGACAUGUAAUAAAUACUUGUUUAAAUAAAAAAUUCAUAAUUAAUGUAUUGAAAAGAAGCAGGAAUUCUAAGUCAUUUUUUAAAAAAAUUAUGGUAAGCCAGUGUAUUCUAGCAGUUUUUUUUAAUAAAAACUGAUUUGCACAAGGAAAAGUAAGUUGUUAAGGGAGGCAAACAACCAAUACAUACCCAACAAUGUAAUCAAUUUGGCAACGCCUUUUUGCACAUCCACAUAUCUAGGCAAUCACAAAAACAAGAAGGAGCAAGACAAAGAAAAUCAACAAGCUAAAGCAAGAACGAGCAAGACAGAGAAAAUCAACAAGCUGAAUAAUAUCAAGCUAUUAUCCGGUGGUAGUUUGGUGUCGAUUUUAGUUUUGCCUUAGAAGUUUUUUAUUGAAUUCUAAUAGCUUCAGUUCUGUGUUAGAACUUAGAAGUAAAGUGUUUGUGAGGCGUUGUAACAAGAAGCAAGUUUGACUUCUUAAGGCUCAUUUGUUUGCACUUAAUGGAGGUCUGAAUCUGAAUAGUUCAGACUUCAGACCAUUAAAUGCAUUUGUUUUUUUAUUAAGAUUUUAACUCUUAAUAGGUCUGAAUGGUCCUAAUCAUUCAGAUAUAGAAUCAAGUCUUAAUAGGUCUGAAGAGUUAUUCUGGUGUUGGAUAAUUUUCAACGUCACUCUAUUCAUAAUCAUCAGUCACCACCUCUGCCAUUGUCAUCAUUGUCAACUACCACCCACUACCACCAACCACCUUCACCAUCACAACUACCAUCGACAGCAAAUAUUGCUACCAACCACUAUUGUCAACCGCUACCACACCUACUACCUCUAUUAUUCUAAUUAUAUUUAACGCUACCACCAUCAUCAACAGCACUCCCAUCAUCAACCACUACCGGUCAAUCCCUACUAUCGACCAACUCAUUUAUCACAACUAGUACCACCGCUAACUACCACUAAUAUAUCACAACCUCCACACAUUCUUCGGCGGCCACCACUAUUGUCACUAGUAAUGUCACCUCUAUCAUCACUCCAAUCACUAUCAUCGCUAUACUUUAUCUCUACUAACAACCAUCUCUACCAUCACAACUAACAAUAUCUUCAACUAGAACCAACACAUUGUCAACCAUUAUUCAUUCAUUUUUCAGCCAUCAUAAUCAAAACUUUCAACUACUAACAUCAAGCAACGUCACAUCACAACUGUCACACCCCUUUUUCAACCAAAAAGUUUUUGAGUUUAAGGUUAAAAAGGGUUUUAUUAAACCAACGCGUCAAAAGAUGAAAAUUUGUUUCGAAAAAAGGUUAUUUUUACAUUCAAAUUCAGAGUCACCACUUGGCAUAAUCUGGUGUGCCAAGUCACCUUUGAAAAAUUCUUUUUAAAACGAUUUUUGACUCUUUCAAAACUGAUUUACGAACAGAGAUUCCGGCUAAGGAAUUCUGUUGACCAAGGGGAAGGUGUUAGGAACCCCUCGGUCCCGUGGUUCGACCACGGUCGCUUGGUGGAGAAUAUCAGAUAAUUUGACACUACGAAUGUAUAAACCACACAAAGCACGCAGAACAAUCAAUCAAGCAAACAAAACAAAAACAAUCCAAAAUUUAGUGCUCAGUCCAAUUAUACAGUUUCGAAAUAGAAAAAUGUAGAAAUAUAAACCUACACUAUUCUAGGCUAAUCUUAAACUAUGGUCCAUUGCUUUCUACACCCAACGUUCCGGGCCUUGAUCGUGCGUCGUCUUCAAGUACAUGAUACUUCGGGGCAUCCCUAGUGAAUAAAUACGAUUCCUUCGGAGCAUUCCCCGGUAAAUGAAUACAAUAUCAAUUUCAUGAGAUAAACUAGAAAACAUCUGACACAUUUAACAUUCCACGCAUUCAAUCCAACAUCAAUCCUAAGUUUUACCUACUCGAAUCUAUAUUUGCCUAUCCAUUUCAACAUAUCAUAAAUCUAUCACGUUCCGAUAAUAUUCAUGCUUAUUCCGGAUUAAAAAAAACAAUGAUCAACCAAAAUUGAUCUAUAUUUGCCCAUUUUCAUUAAUUUCUUAAUUCCACCCCACGAAUUCCAAUUCCUCAAUCACUCUAUCCACAUGAACCAAAUCAAUCAACAUCAACCACGGUAAUCAAAGUUACUUGAACCAAUAUCAAAUCACGUCACCACAUCACAACAACAGCCACAUCGACGUAAGAAAAGAGAUAAGGCUAAGGGAUGGACCUUUGAAAGAUUUGAUUCCGUUGAUAAUAAUGUUUAAGAAAAUCCGGACGUAGAAUUCCGAAUAGAACCUUAGCAGCGACGAACUCCAACUCUAUAUCAAGGUAUUUGAAACCCCAAAACUGACCUCAAUAGACUGAUCGACACGAAAGGAAAACUAGAUACCCAAACUAGGAACGAAAACUGAGAAACCCGAAACCCGACUUUGAAUAUGAAUCAACUAAGAUGAACCUGAAGCUCCGAAAGUCCCAUCGAACCUACAAACCUACAGAAAUCGAGUUCGAUGAGCUGACAAUGAGCAAAACUACUAAAACGAUCAGAUUCCAGCAAUAUCGCGUUUAGAAAUUAAAGGAAAAUAAAGGGAAUUUGGCGAUUAGGAGACUAAUUCGAACGACGAUCGGUUGAAACUGAUUUCGGCCCGAAGUCAUCGAAAAUUACGUGUCUACAACAACCACCACCAUCACUAUCAACCGUCACCAUCAUAACGGUCACUACAAUACCAACCAUCACAACUAUCACCACUAACAUCCAUUAUUGUCACCGCAACCACUAUUAUAAAGCAUAUCUGCUAUCACUAAAAAACAUAAAUAUUUUUUUAUUCAAUUAAAUAAUAAUUUUGUUGUAUUAAAUUACAUAUUUUUCUGAUAUCUAAUUAAUUUUUUAUUUGAAUUGUAUUUUUUAUUUUAUUAUAUAUAGAAAUAAUUUUUUUUGUACAUUCAGAUAUUGAAAAACAAACAAUCUUAAUCAUUCAGUUUUCAGAUCUAGAGACAAUAUCUUAAUCAUUCAGACGUGCAUUCAGAUUCAAACGUCAGAAUCUUAGAAAAAACAAAUGCAGCCUUAGAGUGGUUAAGUAGUGUACAGAACAGUUAGAGUUAAUUGUUGAGGUAAAGUACUAGAUUGAAUCCCUUAGACUGUAGAGUUGUAAUUUGAAAUGUUGAUGGUGUGAAGAUAGUGGAGAUUGGUGUUGAAAUCUCCUAGCAUAUUGUUCGUGUUUAGUUUGUUUUUACUAUUUACUACAUUUUUCUGAACCAGGUUUCUAAUACAUGUGGUGGAGUUAGCUGUUUUAUCAUUUUAAGCCUUCAGUUUCAAUUUUUUUGUCUAAAUUUGACUCAAGCUUAUGAAAUUAAAGAAGAUGGUUGAAUCUUGUAAUCUUAGACUAAAGAUACGUUGAACGUAUGAUAAUGAACUUUAAUUUUAUGAUCUUAAGCAUGUCACGAGAAAAGUUAAAAUUAAAGAGUUGCCAAAAAAGAAAAGAGACAUUCUUUUUUAAACAAAUUACGAAGAAAAACAAGAGAAACAAAUUGACAAGUAGGAACAAUAUAUUAAGUUUAAACAAUUCUGUUCCUUUUACUUGAGCUUACUCGUACCACUUCGUAAAGAGGGAUUUUUUUUUUUUUGGGCAAAUUUGGGACCACUCGGAUAUUAUCCGAAGUGAAAGAACCUCAAAAAACAAUAAGUACAAGUAAGAGGGGUCAAAUCUUACCAUAAAAAUCUUAAUGAAAUCAAAUCCUCUACUAAUACUAUCAAGCUAUGUAAGAAAUAAGAAUUUGAAAGAACCAAAUAUUUAAUGAUCAUUACAAGUAUUUAUAACACACUUUAUAAUAAUAUUACAAAUAAAGAUAUUAACAGGAGAGAUAAACGUAGUUAUUGGAGUGUAAAUUUUGUGUUUAACUAAUGUGUGAGUGUAGACACAUAAUUUUGUCCCCCUCAAAAGUUCGUUUUUAUUCAUUUCUACCUUAUCAUAUCAUGUACUCUCCCCACGUGAUUACACCCCACAAAUAAUACAAAAAAAAAAAAAAAUAACUCUCAACAAAAUCCCUAACAAACUUUUAUUCUUUUAACACCCUAACAACCCUCUCCAAUAAAAAAGUGACAAAUCACCACCUCACCACCCCAUACCCUACCCUUUACCCCUACCCCACGUCCUCCCCCCUCUUUUUUUCUUGUCCAAGAAGAAAGGACUCAAAAACCAAAAAUACAAUAUAUAUAUAUUAACCACUCGCAUUUAAGCAAAUAAUCUUAUUUCUUUUGAAUACUCUCCAAGAGUUUCAACGAUUUUCAAACCAUCAAUUUAUCCCUCAUAAGGAUAAUAAAUAAGUUUUCCAAAAACUUUAUAUGCUUCAGGCAUUUUGAAUCCUUUAGGGAUUUUCAUAUGGAUUUUUGUAAAGUGACAAUACCAAUAUGUGUGACAUCUUCAAGUGUCUGGACUGCAAAUCAAAUAAGUUUUAUGCUUACCAAGAUGCAUCCUUUCACGUCACUUGAUAAAUUUUUCUACGUCAACAUACUUAAAUUAACGUAGAAUUCAGAUCUUCAUAAUCUUUUUACAAUAUUGCGCCAAUAUUGUAUCAUAGAUAUCGUCGAUGAUUUCUUAUUUUGUAACGAUUCACAAUGCGACAUAACAUUUUGAGAUCUCAUCACUUCAUUAUUUUCAGGUACCUAAACCUCUCAUAAGGUUUCAUGAAGUGUUAUGUCGUAGGCUCUUCAAGAGCUUAUUGCCUUCUUAUUAUGAUUAUUUGCUCCUUAUUUUUCAAGGACUAUUUCAUUUAGAACCGAUUAGUCCACCACGCUUCACGCAUGCAUAGACUUUGUCCUUUAGGAACACAAAAUAAGAGCACUUGCGCUUAAUAUGAGAUGCUUUCGGCAUUUGACUUGAAUUAUCUUUUGGAUGAGGAUCUGGUGAUAAUUCCUAACAUAUUUCAUAGCGCUUAUAAUCUCCCCCUUAUGUUAGAAAAAGUAGCAUACAUCCUCUAUUUCUUUGAGGAAUCCAUCAUUGUGCAUUAUUGUAUAUUCAUUAAUCGUAUAUCGCACAUCAAAAUUAUUAGAUAGAAUAAUUGGUUCAUGACCUUGAACCAUAUAAGGGGAAGAAAUAAUCAUAAUUUAUUAAUCUAAUGCAUACAAGUGUUAUUGUAUGCAACAUGUCAUAUUUCAGAUCAACACAUGAAGCUUUGUUCUCAUUAGCGAUGGUUUAGCUAUUUAUCGAAGGCAUUCAAUGCCAAAUCAUCAUCAUCAAGAUAACUUUCGUGUUGCACAAUCUGAAAAUUAUGUUCUUAACUCAAUUUUGUUGAGCAAGCAACUUUAUGAAUGUCAAACUGCAGGUUGACAAUGAAAGUAUAUGUGAUCAUCUUAUUGAUGCAUCAUUUUAACAUAUCACAUGAUAGAUGAACGAGCCCUUAUUCACCUUUUAUUCAGAUUUGAAGGUCCAAUCCCAAUAUUAGUUGGUCCAACCAACUUAUCAUGAGAACAAAUUAAACGACAUAAACAAUCCUUGAAGAAUCUUGUAGUUCUUCAAUACAUGCAAAUUUUCGAGAUGUCACAACUUUUAUUCUAGUAAACUCCAAGUUUACCAUGACAUGUACUUUUUCUUUAGUAAAUUUCAGAUUUACUAUUACAUGAAUAAAUUUUAGAUUUACUACUUCAGAAGUAGAUUUCAAAAUUAUUCAACCUCUUUCGGAGGUGAGUUGUGAUACAAUCANNNNNNNNNNNNNNNNNNNNNNNNNNNNNNNNNNNNNNNNNNNNNNNNNNNNNNNNNNNNNNNNNNNNNNNNNNNNNNNNNNNNAUAACCUCUUUCAAGAUUUUGCUACUUCAGAAGCAAAUCGAGGCAUACAUAUGAUGUAGAGAAUUUUUCUCUAGCAUAUCUUAUAAUCAUAUAAGCGUGUGAAAAUAUCAUCACUUUUGAUGAUCAUUAUUAUAUUCGUGCAUUCAAUCACUUGUCUUUUUUCAGACAUAUUAUGCAUUGCUACCACAUACACUUCAUGGAAUGGAGCAUAUUCAAUGGGUCAAAUUUCAUGACUUUUCACCCAAUACCCAUUAUUUUUCCUUAGCCAUCACAAUAUCAUCAAUUUGGUGUAUCGAGAUUCAAACUCAAUAUUUUAUCCAUAUAAAGGCGUCUUAGGCAUAAAUCGAUGGGACUUGAACUCAAAUAUUAUCGUCCCUUUUGAUAAUAUUGUUCUUGAAGAAUGAAUUUUAAACAUAAAUGGUUUCAAACCAAUUAUUUUUCCUCAAAUCCAACAAUAAUUAUAUCAUUAAUAGAAAAAUACAAAUAACAUAAGGAAUUACUAACCUUGACCUUUAGAUUUAUAAUCUCACCUUAUUUGGCAGAAUCUCGUGUUGAUAAUGUGUUAUAAAAUAAUAAAGAAUAAAGAAGAAGAGUAGAGAGAAUAGAGAGAGUGAUUCUUAUUUCUUCUCUUGAGGGAUUCUUGAGGGGUCAUCAGAUUAUAAAUACAAUGAAUAAAACCUCUCUAUUUAUGGGAGAAAUUUACUCCUAGUCUAAGUAAAAGAAGAAUGCUUCAAAUCCUAAUAGAUAUCAACAUAGAUCUUGAUAGAUAUGUGUCUCACCCCCUUUUUUUAAACUCCAAAAAGAUUAUUUAAGGUUCGAAAGUGUUUUUAUUAUUAAAGUGAUAAAAGGAAGAUAGUUUGUUUCUAAAGGGACCUUUUACAUUCAAAACUCAGAGUCGCCACUUGGCAUAAUCUGGUGUGCCAAGUCACCAUUGGAAAGUCCUUUUCAAAACCAUUUGACUCUUUAAAUUAGUUUGUGAACAGAGAUUCCGGCUAAGGAAUUCUGUUGACCGAAGGGAAGGUGUUAGGCACCCCUCGAUCUCGUGGUUCGACCACGGUCGCUUGGUGAAGUAUAUCGGCUAAUUUGAACACUAUGAAUCAAUAAACCACACGAAACACAAAUAAAACGAUCAAUCAAACAAAUAGAUCCAAAACAAUGUCCAGUCCAAUUAUACAGUCCAAAAAUAGAAAAAAGAAUGCGAAAAUGUAAAUCCUAUUCUACCCUACACUAAUUUUAUACUACGCUCCCAUGCUACCCGAUGCCUCGGGCCUUCAUCAUGGACGUCCUCCAAAUACAAAAUACUUCGGGGCAUUCCUCGGCGAAUAAAUACAAGUGAUCGCGGGACAUUCUCCGAUUAAAUGAAUACAUUUCCAAAUGCAAGAACUAAAACCAAACUGUUCAACUCAAAUUUCACAUUCAAACAUUCAACAAGAAAACUUAUUCCUAAAUUUUUUGCCUACCCGAAACAACAUUCUCCUAUCUAUUUCAACAUAUCAUAAUUUUAUCACAUUCCAACAAUAUUCAUGCUCAUUACGAAUUAAACAAAACAACAAUAAACCAAAGCUAAUCUAAAUUCAACUUUUUUAUCAAUUUAUCAAUUCCAUCCCCCAAAUCCAUUUUCAACCACAUUACUAAACCAGUUCGACUAUCAAAUCUUUUCAAAAUUCAAAACCAACAACACAUACCCCAACGAAGAUUCAAACAUUUAAGCAUUCCAAUCAUUCAUAUCCGCAAUAACAAUUAACAUUUUUGCUCGAAAUAUUCAAAACCACACUACAAAAUCACGAUAUUAACCAACUUCGAUAUAAUAAAAAAGUAGAGUUGAGAAAUGGACCUUUGAAGAAUCGAUUUCGUUAAUAAUAAAAUCAAGAAAGCCCGGACUAUAGAAUUCCUAGUAGGACCUCAACAAUGACGAACUCCAACUCCGUAUUGAAAAAUUUAAGACCCAAAACGGAAGCUCCGUAAAUCUAAUCGAACUCAAAAACCAACACUGUUCACGUACUGUUCACAACACUGUUCACGGUACUAUUCAUAACACUGUUCACAGCACUGUUCAUGGCACUAUUCACGAUACUAUUUCUUUCUGAAUUUUUUUUCUCUCGCGCGAUUCUCUCUUCUCCCCCUCUGUUUUUUUAUUCUUCUUGUGAGGAAGAUGAUUUGGUGAUGUUGUUAUUGUGGAGAAGAUGAUGAUGAAAGAAUGAGCCUCCCUUUUCCCCUUUUAGAAUUUUCCUUUUAUAUAUUUUUUAUUUGGUUUUUCUUUUUCUUUAUUUAUUAUCAUAUGUGGAAGCAUAUAAUUGGUGGCUUGUGGGAAUAAGUGUGUGGCAUGUGGAAAAGUUAGUGUGGCAUGUGGAAAGAUGAGAGUGGUGUGUGGAAAAAUGAGUAGGGCGUGUACCUUUUGCAUGUAUACAAUGAAAAAUGAAAAGUGAGGUGUUGAGGUGGCAUAGUGAGGUGACAAAGAUGCUAUGUAUUUAAUUAUUUUCAAUUCUUUUUUUUUUGGAGAAAUUAUCAAUUAAAAAAAAGUAUGAUAAGGUGAAUAAUAUAAAAAUAAAAAAAUUAAAAUUAAAAUUAAAAUAAAUAAAAUAAAAUAAAAAUAAUUAAAAUAUUUUUGGGUUAGGACAAAAUUACGUGUCUACAUCAUGCCCCCUUUGAUGUAACACAUGGUGUUUUCAUACAAAGCAGUAGACAACGUGACAGAAUUUUGUCCUGACCUUUAUUCAAAAGCACGGAGCACGAGAAAGGAGGAAAACCAAGUUUUUACUUAGGAUAUCCUACCUACCCAAGUUAUGAGGGAAUCAACAGUUAUCUCAAAGGAUUGGAAGAAGCUGGACUAUGCCGAGUUGGAGAAUCGAGUGAGGUUCCAUCGAGGUUCCGGUCCGCGGCUCUGUUAUUACAUCAAAAAUAAAAAUUACAAGUUAAAAACAAAAAUAAAAUUACAAAAUCCUAUCUACGCAGCUUCUGUUGGACUCUUGACUUGAGUUUCAUCACUCUAUUCUUCAGGCGAGCUCCUGAUUUGAAAUUUCUUCAACUUGUUGCUUGGUUUUCAAUUUCAUCACCCUGUUCUCCAGACGGGCUCCUGGCUUGUUAUUUUCUAUCUGUUGACUUUCAUUUUCUUCAGUUUGUUACUUGACUUUCAACUUCUUCACCUUGUUACUUGACUUUCAAUUUCUUUACCUUGCUGGUUGACUUUCCAUUUAUUCUCCCUGUGCUUCGGGCGGGCUCCUGAAAUCACAUCAAAACUAGAAAAAAAAUUAUCCCAAACAAAUAUUAUUAUAAAGAGAUUUCAUAUGCCAGGAAAGUAAAGUUCUAACACAAGAAUUAAAUUUUGCCCCAGUUUGGACUUUUGCGAAAGUCAAAUCAUUAUAGGAAUCAAGGAGAAUGACUCGAUUAUAAGGUGCGUCUGAUAGGAAUCAAAGGAAUUGGCUCAACUAAAAGGUACGUAUUUGAGGGAUCAAGGAUAAUGACUCGACUAAAAGGUACGUCUUAUAGGAAUCAAGGGAGAUGCCUUGACUAAAAGGUACGUCUUACUAGCAAUCAAGGGAGAUGACUCAACUAAAAGGUACGUCUUAUAGGAAUCAAAGGGAAGGACGCGACUAAAAGGUACGUCUUCUAGGAGCCAAAGGAAAUGACUCGACUAAAAGGUACGUCUUAUAGGAAUCAAAAGGAAUGACUUGACUAAAAGGUACGUCUUAUAGGAAUCAAAUGAGAUGACUCGACUAAAAGGUACGUCUUAUAGCAAUCAAAAGAAAUAACUCGACUAAAAGGUAUUUCUUCUAGGGGUCAAAGAGAAUGACUCGACUAAAAGGUACGUCUUAUAGGAAUCAAAGGGAAUGAAUCGACUAAAAGGUACGUCUUCUAGGGGUCAAAGGGAAUGACUCGACUAAAAGGUACGUCUUAUAGGAAUCAAAGACAAUGACUCAACUGAAAGGUACGUCUUAUAGGAAAUAAAAAAGAUGACUCGACUAAAAGGUACGUCUUAUAGGAAUCAAAGGGAAUGAAUCGACUAAAAGGUAAGUCUUAUAGGAAUCAAAGGAGAUGACUUGACUAAAAAGUACGUCUUAUAGGAAUCAAAGGGAAUGACUUGACUAAAAGGUAGUGUUCUAGGGGUUAAAGGGAAUGACUCGACUAAAAGGUACGUCUUAUAGGAAUCAAAGGAAAUAACUCGACUAAAAGGUACGUCUUAUAGGAAUCAAAGAAGAUGACUUGACUAAAAGGUACGUCUUAUAGGAAUCAAAGGGAAUGACUCAAAUAAAAGGUACGUCUUAUAGGAACCAAAGGGAAUGACUCAACUAAAGGGUAUGUCUUAUAGGAAUCAAAGGAGAUGACUCAACUAAAAGGUACGUCUUAUAGGAAUCAAAGGAAAUGACUCGACUAAAAGGUAUGUCUUUUAGGGAUCAAAGGGAAUGACUCGAUGAAAAGGUACGUCUUAUAAGAAUCAAAGGGAAUGACUCGACUAAAAGGUACGUCUUUUAGGGAUCAAAGGGAAUGACUCGACUAAAAGGUACGUCUUCUAGAAAUGAAGGUUCAAUUUAAGAAGUGUAUCAUCCAGCAAAUGAAAACUGAAAUUCCUCGACAAGUAAGUGUGUCUCCGAGGGAUAUAAGAUGAUGAAUUUUUACCAUGAUUUAAUUAUCAAACCUGUGCAACAGCAUUGCUUCUCGCAUUUGUAAAAGUAAGAAAUUACGGGCCUUGAUGUUUAGGAUUUGAAAUCCUUGAUUUGAAGGUAACAUGUGUUCCUGUUUCAUGCAAAGAAAGGUUGUGAGAUCAAAAACAUAGUGACUGGUUUGUGGCUUUGGCUUUCGUGGAAAACGCUCUUGCCGUCAUCAUAUUUAAUCUUGCUUCCAACCAUUAGUCUGUGUCAUUGACUUGCUGCUUUAUUGACCAAACUCAGAUUAUUAAGAGUGACUGAGACAAACACAGCAUCUCUGCUUUGCCAUGCUUCUCAGGUAGACCACCUUGGAACCUUGGUAUUUCAUGAGUUCCCAGACUUAUUUGUUAACAAAACUUUCUGCUUGCCUCAUUUUGGCUCACAAUCAUGUCUCUUUCAUGCGUUGGCCUUUCUGCCUUACUUUGUACAAUUGAAGAAGCUGGUAGCCAGUUUUGAAAUUUUUUCUCACUUGUUUUGACAUAGACUUGACUCAAAUACAAGAGAAAAAUGACAAUAAUUUUGUUUGGAUAACUGACUCAAGAAAAAUAAAAAUAUAACUAUAGAAAAGAAAGAAAUGAUAAUGAAUGUCCCCAUUGAAAAAAAUGAAAAAAAACUUUAUCUGAAAAUGAUAGUCAACUCUAAUGAUUAUGACAUGCAUAUCGGAUUAAACUACCUGAUCUUUCCAUCCAAAACUCUCAUAAAUUGUUGUUGAGUUAAUGACCCUGAAAGUGGGUUGCUUUCUUGGGCCAAUUGCAUUCGGAGACCACAUUCGGCUAGUGACGCCUUGAAGGGUUUUCUUCAAUAAGCCUCUCUCAUUUUCUUUUAUCACCUGACCAUUGCCUUAUAGUAUCCGAGAGGGUUUUUUACCAAUAAGAUUCUUAUUUUCAUUUUUCUCAACUCAUAGUCGUCUUACAGUGCCCGUGAGGAUGAGCAUUGUGGAUAAAAAACCUUGUUGCAAGUGGUUAUGUGGAUUUCUUGGAUUUUGGGGAAAGAAACCUUAUUGUAAGUGGUUAUGUGGAUCUAAUAUGUAAGCUCGGGAUUGAGGCUGACAGUACUGGUGGGUUGGACCUCUCAAACUCUACUUUGGUCCUGGCAUGACAAUAGGUACAUUUUUCUUCUUCUUUUCUUCAGUUUCCCUUGUUUGAUUGCAAUGUCGUCCUAAAUGUUUCACAGAAUCCUUCUGUCCAUCAGGCUCCCCAAAUUUUGAUGUCUCAAAGCUAGGAGGAAGAUUAACACUUGAAGACAUGACCUUGUUUUUAUAUGAAACAUCUUCAUAGCCCAUAAGUUCAGGGGAAUUUUUCAUAUCAUUUUCUACACUCUUAACUUUCCUAACCAUUUUCUCUAGCUCUUCUAGCAUGCUAGGCUUCUUAGUAAAAAAUUUUGACGGUCCACUUAAUUUAACGGUAGGCUCAAGAGUAUAACAAUGAUCAUCAAGAGUAUUGAACGUGGAUUCAUGACUAGUGGACUGGAGAAACACAAUCGUUGGAUUGAUAGCCAAAGUGGAAGUCUUAGUAGAAGGUUGAGCAAUAAAAACACAGACAGUAUAUGAUGCUGUGAAUGUGGUAGACUUAUACUGAGGAGCUAAAGAAAGAGUGGUGGAAGUAUUGAGGUGCAUUUGACGUGGAAUGAAUUAUGAGGCAUGUUGUGGUAUAUCAACAACAGUAGGAAAUUGACUUUGCGAUUUUGGUGGAAGACUCAAGGUAUUUGCAGGGUCAAAAGUGGGGAACGGAGGUGGAGGCAGCCCACUGGCCCAAGCUCGGUAUAUUUCCAUCAUUUGUUGUCUCAGUCUCAAAUUCUCUUUCUUUAAACUCUCAAUUUCCUGACUCUUUGUUUUAUCCAUGGUGCCACUUUUUAUAUCCUUGUUGGACACAACUAAACCUUCCUUGAAUUUGGUGUGAUAUGGAGGACCAGUCAGGAAGUCACAAACCAACCACCAUAAACUAACUGAACAAGAGGCAACAAAUAUGUUAGAGUUCAACAUUUUUCAAAACCUCUUUUUUUUUUUAGAAAAGACCACCGAACCCAAGAAGGGCGCCUGCAUAUCUCACCCCCGAGAGAGGAGAAUCAGGUGUGCGUAGUUCGUGAAGUCUUGCUAAAAUGGCCAAUUAAACUCUUUGUUUUCUUUCUUUUUUUUGUUCUUUUUCUCGAAACUUUAAGAAGAAAAGAAAAUAACAAUUUGUCAAAAGAAUUGACGAAAAUGUUUUUGAAUUUUUCAGCUUUAACAUCCCUAUACAAAGUGAAAUCAAUGAUUACCAAAUAAUUUUUUUUGGGGGGGUUUCAGUUUUAAAUUUCAUAUGAAAAUGAAACCUGAACCUGUUAAAGGGAAAUCUUUUUGCAGUUUUCUUUUAUUGAUGCAUAUGACACCUACUCUAAAUGAUGAGUGAAAAAAAUAUUUUUAAAUUUUUUAAAUAAGAUCCCCGAACCAACAAUAGGUUGUCUACGUAUCUCACAUUCCGAAAGAGGAGAAUCAGGGGUGGCGUAGUUCGUCCAGAUGGGACAAUUAAAAAUUAAAUAACCGACUGAACCCUGACUUAAUAGAUGAGACUACAACGAUAAAAAUCUUUUUUGAGGUUUUCACUUUGACACUCCACAUAAAACUGACACCAACAACUAUGAAAGAAAAAUCUUUUUGAUAUUUUCAUGAAAUGUACAAAACUCCUACAAUUUUUACAUUUUUCUUUUAUAAAAAAUCCUAUGAAUGAAUUUUUUUUUUUUUAAAGUUUUUGAAUUAUGAAUACUUGCUUAAGGAAACAAAAGAAAAAUCUUUUUGAUGUUUUUGAUUUUGACAAAUGAAUGCAAAAGGUGAAAAGAUUUUUUUGAAUUUUUGGAUUGUGAAAAACGAAAGCCCUAAAGAACUCUAAAAACUACGAAACUCUCUCUUUUUUUUUCUUCGACUCACUUUUUUCAUUGCCUUCACACUUGAUUUCUAACACAUGUUUUCCCCAAAUCGGUCUGUCAAAAGACCCCAUUAUCCUCAAAGAUGCAACGUUUAGCACGUAGGGAUGAGGUAGAGGUGAGUCUCCUAUAAAAGACCAAAUGGGGCCCGCUAGGUAUCAAUAUGAUGAACAUAGUAUGACCUAAAGGCUGACCUAUGCUAGGGUUCACCAACAAGGCUGUUCGGGGGAGCGUAUGGUCGAUAGUGGCAGCUUUAGCUGUCCACCUACUCCAUACCAGCCAACGGCUCCCCUCUUUUAAAAUAAGGGUGACUAAACUAUAGGUCCUGUACACAGCGUGUACGACAGAACUUGUUGCAGAAAGAUUGACUCGGGUCAUGCACAUGAUGCCAGAUAUAAAACGGUAACACAUAAGAUAAAAACUGUAAACAAAGAGCACGUAGGCACUUAACAAUGAUAAACAAUAACACAAAAUAACACAAACAAAAUGUCUAUACACCUAUAGUGACAAACUAAGCCGAUACAACUCCAAAAUAAACUCGAAUUCUAAAAAAAAUCCCCAGCAGAGUCGCCAGAGCUGUCACACCCCCUUUUUUUAAACUCCAAAAAAAUUAUUUAAGGUUUGAAAGGGUUUUUACUAUUAAAGUAACAAAAUGAAGAUAAUUUGUUUCGUGAAGGACCUUUUACAUUCAAAACUCAGAGUCGCCACUUGGCGUAAUCUGGUGUGCCAAGUCACCAUUGAAAAAUCCUUUUCAAAAUCAUUUGAUUCUUUAAAUUGGUUUGCAAACAGAGAUUCCGACUAACUAAUUCUGUUGACCGCGGAAGGGUGUUAGGCACCCCUUGAUCCCGUGGUUCGACCACGGUCGCUUGGUGGAGUAUAUCGACUAAUUUGACCACUAUGAAUGAAUAAACCACACCACACACAAAUAAAAUGAUCAAUCAAACAAACAAAUCUAAAACAAUGUCCAGUCCAAUUAUACAGUCCAAAAUAGAAAAAGAAUGCGAAAAUGUAAAUCUUAUCCUACCCUACACUAAUUUUAUACUAUGCUCCCAUGCUACCCGAUGCCUCGGGCCUUCAUCACGGACGUCCUCCAAAUACAAAAUACUUCGGGGCAUUCCCCAGCAAAUAAAUACAAGUGAUCGCAAGGCAUUCCUCAAUUAAAUAAAUACAUUUCCAAAUGCAAGAACAAAAACCAAACCGUUCAACUCAAAUUCCACAUUCAAACAUUCAACAAGAAAACUUAUUCCUAAAUUUUUUGCCUACCCGAACCAACAUUCGCCUAUCCAUUUCAAUAUAUCAUAAUUUUAUCACAUUCCAACAAUAUUCAUGCUCAUUACGAAUUAAACAAAACAACAAUAAAUCAAAGUUAAUCUAAAUUCAACUUUUUUAUCAAUUUCUCAAUUUCAUCCCACAAAAUUCAUUUUUAACCACAUUAUUAAACUAGUUCGACUAUCAAAUCACCUUUCGAAAUCUGAAACCAACAACACAUACCCCAAUGAAGAUUCAAACAUUUAAGCAUACCAAUCAUUCAUAUCCGCAAUAACAAUUAACAUUUUUGCUCGAAAUAUUCAAAACCACACCACAAAAUCACGAUAUUAACCAAUUUCGAUAUAAUAAAAAAGUAGAGUUGAGAGAUGGACCCUUGAAGAAUCGAUUUCGUUGAUAAUAAAAUCAAGAAAGCCCGGACUAUAGAAUUCCUUAUAGGACCUCAACAAUGACGAACUCCAACUCCGUAUUGAAAAACUUGAGACCCAAAACUGAAGCUCCGUAAAUUCAAUCGAACUCAAAAACCGACACUGUUCACGUACUAUUCAUGGUACUGUUCACAACACUGUUCACGACACUAUUCACAACACUGUUCACGGUACUAUUUCUCUCUCGAUAUUUUUUCUCUCGCUUGAUUCUCUCUUCUCUCCCUUGGUCUUUUUUGUUCUUCUUGUGAGGAAGAUGAUUUGGUGAUUAUUGUUAUUGUGGAGAAGAUGAUGAUGAAAGAAUGAGCCUCCCUUUUCCCCUUUUAGAAUUUUCCUUUUAUAUAUUUUUUAUUUGGUUUUUCUUUUUGUUUAUUUAUUAUCCAUGUGGAAGCAUAUAAUUGGUGUCUUGUGGGAAUAAGUGUGUGGCAUGUGGAAAAGUUAGUGUGACAUGUGAAAAGAUGAGGGUGGCGUGUGAAAAAAUGAGUAGGGCGUGUGCCUUUUGCAUGUAUCCAAUUAAAAAUGAAAAGUGAGGUGUUGAGGUGGCAUAGUGAGGUGACAAAGAUGCUUUGUGUUUAAUUAUUUUCAAUUCUUUUUUUUUUUUUGAGAAAUUAUCAAUUAAACAAAAGUAUGGUAAGGUGAAUAAAAUAAAAAUAAAAAUCAAAAUAAAUAAAAUUAAAUAAAAAUGAUUAUAAUAAUUUUGAGAAAGGAUAAAAUUACGUGUCUACAAUAUGUCAUGUGUCUUUCAUCUUCAGAAGAUCGUCAACUUAAAAGUUUAUCGGUUCAAAAACGGAGUUUGUAGAUAUAGCGCAUUAAACUACUGCAUUUGUACCUGUCCAUUAUUGCAGUAAAUCGGUUGCGAAGACUAAGGCUGGCAUGAGAGUAUAUUGAGUGAUCUAUCAAAAAGUUCAAUUUAAUAAAAUCGACAUAGGAGUCAUACUUUGUUCCCAUUAACGAAUAUCCAAAUUUUAAAUCAGAUUUAUAAAUAAAGAGAAAAUAUACCCAAUAUAACAUACGGGAGAGUCAUUUAACACAUUGUGAUAGUUAAAUCCAAAUAUGGUUUAAGAAAAAUAAAAAAAAAUCCAAGUAUGGUUUGAUGGACGCUAUUACUAUAUGUACAAAGUUGCUGAUGUUGCUUGAAGUUGAUUACAUACAUCACUAUUUUACUGUUUUUUUCAGAAAAUAUUUUAAACUUCAUUUUGAUAGUUGAUAAAUUGUUUGAACUUAUGUUUGAAGUUCUUGAAACUUCAUUUUGAUAGUUUAUAAGUUGUUUGAACUUGUGUUGAAAUUCUUGUAGAUUAAUAAUUAAUAUACAUAUUGUACCCAAAAAAUACACUUCUAUGAUUAAGCUUGUUGAAUUUAAUUGUUCAAGGGUAAGCAAAAUCAUACAAAACAAAUAAUAUGGAUUAUGCAUUUUAAGGUUUCGAACGGUAAAAAUGUGAUGUUAGAAUUAAAUUGAAUAAUAAAUGUACAAAAAUUUAUUUUGUAAUAGACUAAAAAUAAAAGUAUGUCAUAUCGAAGUUGAUGAAAAUGGUAUAUGGUUUUGCCAUAACAAUGUCAUAAGAAGAAUAUUUAAUUUGAUUCAUUUUUUCAUUUGUUUUAAUUUUUUUUUUUUAUCCUUUGUUUAUGGAUAUUUGAUUCAAUAAACUAAACUUCUAGCAUUAAAGUGUGUUCUAAUCAUUGAGAGACAAUUUAGGUAUGAAACUCAUAAUUUCAAUCAUGUUGGCAUCAAAAUAGAAAACUUAAAUAUUAUUAAUUAGGUAUAAUUUUUAUCCUUUUAACUCCUAUAAAAUUAAAAAUUAGAGGUACAAUCAAUAUAAUGUCAAUUUCAAAUAUGUCUUAUACAUACAUGGCAUAUUAGAUAUGAAAACAACGAUGGGCAAUUUCUUCAAGUUUAUGUCUUAUUCGUAGAGCUGAUAUUUUUCUUUAUUUGUUUCUUUCUUGUGAUGAGUACUAAUAGGAAAAAAGCAUAAUUUUUUUCUAACCAUAUUCAACUUCUUUCUCUUGUUUUUUGAUUAUUAAAGUGGAGGUUUUACGAUGUAUAUCUUCUUACAACACUCUUGAUAUGAAUGAUAAAUAUCUAAAUUACAUCUAUACAUUUUUGUAGACCGAGUUAUAAUCAUUUUUGAAAUUCCUCGGUAUUAAAUUCCCUUUGAGAAUCACUCAUUCAGUUCUUGUAUAAAGGACAGUAAGAAUUAUAUUGAUAUUUUAUUUUAGUCUACAUAAAAUUAUUUAUUUUUAUCACUCAACUCAAAUUAAUCUAACUUACUUCAACCCAAAUCCAACACGAACAUAACCAUUUUCACUUUCACUAGCUACACCAGAAAAGAUAUUUAAUGACAAUUAGUUAAUAAUAACAUUGUAAUUGUCGUUAAAUAUAUCUUUUAGAAAAAAAUAUUAGUAAAAAUUAGAUUAUAGCACUCUUUGUAAAUGUUCUAAAAUGAAUAGCGAUAUUGAAUUCAAUGCCAAUAAAAAUUGAAACAUUUUUUUUUAAAUAUAUGCAUUUAUUAUUGCUAAAAGUCUUUAUUAAUGUAUCGUGCAAAAUAGUGUCUUUACUCUUCUUUUUAUUUUUGUCACAAUGAUUUACUUUACUUUGUACUUGUCUGAAUUUGUAUUAGAGUAAAUACAUAAUUAUCUUUCUGAUCUUGUCCGAAUUUUAUAAAAAGACAUCUAAACUUUAACUUCAACCCAUUACCCCACGAAUCUUCUUUAUUCUGUUGCAAAUACACAAUUUUGACCCUCUGCGUGUAUACACGCGCCACAAACGCGUGAAAAGGCAAAAAUUGACUUUUUUGACCAAUUAAAAGCUGCCAAGUGUAAAUAAUUUAAUAUAUAAUUUAUAUUCUUUUUUUUAAAAUCAAUAUUUAUUUAUUUUUUAAAAUUAUNNNNNNNNNNNNNNNNNNNNNNNNNNNNNNNNNNNNNNNCAACAACAACAUCAAUUACAACAACAACAUCAAUUACAACAACAACAACAAUAUCAUCAUCACCAUAAUUUUAAAAAGAAAAUAUGAUGUACAAUCUCUAUUUUAAUGGAGCUUUAAACUCCAUUUUAAUGGAGGGAAUUGGACGGGAAUGGGGGAGGGAGGGGUUGGAAGGAGUGGGGGUGGGGAGGUGGGGUGGGGUCAUAAACAAAAAUGGAGCUUAAAGCUCCAUUAAAAUGGAGAUUGUACAGGAGCUUUAAGCUCCAUUUUAAUGGAGAAAACUAGAAGCGGGGGGAGGGGGAGCUGUUGGACUUGGGGUGGGGGAAGGGGGUGAUAAAUUAAAUAUAAAGGAAAAAAUUUAUUAAAAAAUAAAUAAAAUAUGAAAUUAAAAAUAUUUGACACGUGGCAUCACCUGAUUGGUGCGUGCAUUCACUCUCUUUUUUGUGACUGAGAUUCAGCGAAAAAUGAUGUAUUUGCAACGAAAUAAAGAAGAAUCGUGGGUUAAUAGGUCAAAAUUAAAGUUUAGGUGUCUUUUUACAAAAUUCGGACAAAAUCAGUGAGAUAAUUAUGUAUUUACUCUUUAUAUUAUGAAUACUUCUACUUAAUUCUUUAUCAUCGGACCCCUAUAUUCUCCAAAACAAAAAAAAUUUUAAACCCUUUUUACGAUUUAGGCCUCCUAUGUGGUAUAAACAACCAAGGAGCGGGUGCUAUAAAUAUUUUUGAAGCAUGAGACAUUAUAAAAAGGCUCAAUCAUCUUCUUUCCCAUUUACAUUUAACACCACUGUUGAAUAAUAUUAAGCUUUUUCUUACCUCUUUUUCGAUCGUCUCUCUUGAAAUUUCUUCUCCAUUAAUUUUUUUCUAGUCCUUACACAUUUCUUUUUUGUGCAUUUUCAUGUUAUUUUUUCCUUCAAUUUUAAUUUUGACAACUUUUUUUACUAUUGUGAACUUUAUGUCAUUGAAUACAAGCAUAGCACCUCUACAAAAACAUCUUACACUACACGAAACAAAGCAAAACCUUGGAAAUAUUUCAAUAAAAGCAAAUAUUAAUCAACAAUCUUAAAAUCAAAGAACGACACAAAUACUCAAACAAAAAGCAGCAACAAAACUUGACAGCAAAUAAUUAUGACUAUAAAUUGAAAACUUAAUUCGAUAGCUUGGAAAUCAAACAGAAACAAUAAGAAAACUCGAAUUAUUUAGUGAAAAUAAAAAAAAAUAGUAAAAAAAGAAAAGAAAAUGGGUGCCUACAUGAAUAACGGGUGAAUGAGAAGAUGUGAAGUUUUUAAAAUCUUUUAACUCUAUCCCGCGUCAUUUUGUACAUGUUAUUUUAGAAUUAUUUUUAAAAUUAUAUGUUAGCGUUAUGUUACACGCUCAAUUAAAUAGUCAAACUAAUUUAAAAAAUUACGUAACGAAAAAUUUAGAGAUUAAAAUGAUAAAGAAUUGAAUAAAAAUAUUCACAAUACAAACUCAAAUAAGUAUAAGUAUAUAUUUUUAAAAAUCAAACAACUAAAUAUGAUAUGUCAUGUGACCUUCAUUAUAAAAAAAAAGGCUUAAGUUAUAGACACGCACUUAAAGUUGUCCCGAAAAUUUAUUUGGACCCCUCAACAAUGGUAUGUACCUAUCAGGCACCUCAACUGCUAACACUAAUACCUAUCAAACACAAACAACUAAUUUGACAAGAAAAGUGUGUUACACUUUCGUUGAAUGCGUGAACAGUAGAAAAAAAAUACUAAUAUUUUAUUUUUUAAUUAAAAAAAUUAUAUUUAAAUUAUUUUAUUAAUCUAAUUUUUAAUUAUUUUAAUUUCUUAAUUUAAAAAUAAAAAGUCCAACCCCCAAUUCAUCUUGUCUUCACUCCCCCUCAUCGUCUUCUUCACAACACCCCCAAGUCAUCAUCGUCUUCACAUCUUUGUCCCCAUCAUCUUCAACCCCCCACCCUCCCCAUAGUCAUUGCUAACCCCCCNNNNNNNNNNNNNNAACCCCCCCCCCCUCCGCCGCCCCAUGCUGACAUCUUUUUUAUCCCAUUAUUGAUAUCAUUUUCUUCACACCCAUUUUUUGAUUUUAAAGCACUUUAAAAUUUAUAAUAUAACUAUUUCUAAACUUAGUCAUCUGAAAAUUUUAACAACUCAAUUGGUUGCUACUUGAAACUCACGCCUGUUGAUUAUGUUGAUUUUUCAUAUUGUAAUCUAUUCUCUAUAUUUAUAAGAGGAAGGGAAUGCCCUUCCACUACUUCCAAUUGAAAGAAAGGGUUUAACAUUCCUGGAAAUUACCCUCUCUUUCCUUUUGCUUAUUCCUUGUUUUAUACGAUAAUGCAGAAUAGCUACUUCUUCUUCUUCUUUGUCAGUAAUUUCUUGCAUAUUUAUCCAUGGCUUCUCAAUACAAAUCCACUCAAAAAUGGGAAUUUGAUACCUUCUUGAAUUUUGGAGGACAAGAUACCCGUUACAACUUUAUUAAACCUCUCCACAAAAAAUAGGAAACCAGUUUUUAAAAAAGGUUCAGCUUCUAUGGAAAAAAAAAAAGGGGAGGGGUGGGGGGGGGGGGAGAGGGCGAGGGGAGAGGUGUAAUUUACUUUUUUUUUUUUUAAUUCUAAAAUAAUUUAUUUUGGAGUUUAUUGUGGAGUAAUAUAUUUAAAAUAAUUUUUGAACCCACACGAUAUGUGUCAUUAUUUAAUUGAAUUUUUAAUUUAUACAGUAGUCUUUUUAAAAAAAAACGUUAGUCACGUAUUUUUUUUAUUGGUCAUUUUUGCCAUGUUAGGUAAGUGUGUUACACACGCUUUUUAAAAAAAAAAUUCGUUUGCCACGUAUUUUUUUUUAUUGGUCAUUUUUAUCAUAUCAUGCAAGUGUGUUACACACGCUUUAUAUCUUUUGUUGAUUGUUUAAAAAAGACUUAAUUGAAUCAAAAUUUGAGUGAAUUAAAAAUUUGAUAGGUACAUGUUUUAAUUAAGAAAUUUGAGUAAAUUUUUAAGAUAAUUUUAAGUGUUUAUUGAUGAUUUAAGCCUAAAAGAGAAUAUUGAGGAAUCAAACAUACAAUUUAAAGGGACAAUACAUUUGUUUUAUAGUUGACAUUAUUGUAUGUGAAAAUGACGGCGAUCGAUUUGAUCCCUCUAUUGUUUUAUUCAUAGAGCUAUAAUUUCUUUUUAUUUGUUCCUUUUCCAUAAUAAGUCAUAUUCAAACAAAAGUAGGGACAGCACCUUUGCCUGCAGCCAGUUAUUAGCUCAUUAAAAGAAUAAUCAAACAAAGGCUCAAAAAAAAAAAAAAAGAAUGUGAACUUGAUAUUAUUAGAGUCCGAAACUAAACUAUGCCAUCAAAUUAAAAAUUGCAUCAAAAUAUAUUAUAUAUUUAAAAUAAUACCAAACUAAAUAGUGAGUUAAGCAUAAUUUGAUACUUUUUAAAAUAUAUGGCAUACUAGAUAUAGAAAUUCAUAUCAGCACAAGUUUUAUAUAUUUUAUUUUUUUAUUUUAAUUUAAGUGGUUCAGAUAAAAUAUUAAAAUUAAAUUAAAUUUUUUUAUAAUUUUUAAAUAUUUUAAAUUAUUUAUAAUUGAUUUACAUUGUAGAAUUAUUAGAUAUUAUAUGUUACAUUUUUGUCUCAAUUUACGGAGCACUGAUGAAAUAUUUAAGAAAUUCAAUCAAAUUUGUUAAGUAUAUAGUUCUUUAGAUAUUGUACUUGUUAAUUAAUAUGAUAUUAAUAGAAUUUGAAAAGUCAAAAUAAUUUUUUAAAAUAUCCUUCAAAUAUUUUGAUUUAGUAUUAUUGUGAUUUAUAUUACUUUUUAUGUCAUUUUCAAAUAAUAUAUAACUUCCUUUACCUCAAUUUAUGUGUGCUGCUAGAAUCUCAAAUCAAUCAAAAAAAUUUAUGUGCUUUGAAAUAAUUUAAAUUGCUAAGUAUUAUAAUUUUAAAUAUUAUUAUAUAAUUUUUAAAUACAUAAAAUAUNNNNNNNNNNNNNNNNNNNNNNNNNNNNNNAUUAUAAAAUUUCUCUCGAUCAGAAGUCGACAGUUGAAAACAGAUAUGACAACUAUCAAUCGCUUGCUUACUCGCGUUUCUAUAGUAAAACUAGAUACAAAAGGCCCGUGGAAUAUUUUAAGUAUACGACAAAUAAAAUUUGGAGGCAACCAUAUAUUUUUUAUAUUCUUAAAUACUUUAAGUUAUACUUUAUUCAUAAUAUUCACAUAAUAUAUGUUAUAUAUUUUAUUUAAAUUUAUGUGGUGUAAAUAAAAUUUUGAAAGUCAAUAUAAAAUAUUUUAUAUUACGUACAUUAUAGAUAUUUUAAAUUGUUACUUAUUGCGAUUUAUAUUAUUUUGAACAUAAUUUUCACUUAGUAUAUAUUACUCUUUUUGUCUCAAUCCUUAUGGAUGUUUUGACGCGAUAAAUUCAAGGUCAAAUACAUCGACAAAUUCCUUAAUUUGGCAGGAUUUUUCACUUUGACACCUAAGGUGAAUAUUGUUAAUUUUAAGCACCCAAACCAACUACAAAGUGUGUCAUUUUGAUACUUUUUUGCAUCAACUCUAGCACGUGAAUUGUACUCGCUUUUAACAUGGAUUAAAUGACCAAUUAAUUUGUGUCACCUCAUUUUAAAUUGUCAUAUCAUUAUAUGCAUACAUAAUUAUUUUUUUAUAAAAAAAAAUAAAACACAUUACAAGGUGUCCAAUGAAUUAAUGACACGUGGCUUUUGACCACAAUAUUACAAAAGUACUUUGACUUCAUCUUCUUCACCCAACCAUUCUUCAAGCUUAACCUCCAUCAAUGAAAGUUGAAUUUUUCAAGAAUGAUAAACAUACCUCCUCAUUCUUUUACGGAUGAUAGAUCCUGACACUGACGCAUAGUUCAUUGAUUAAAAUGCACCAUAAGAGCAUAUUUUUUACUUAUAAACAUACGUACACCUGGCUCAUCAGACCUAUCCGGGCAGUCACAAAAAUCAUCAUUGAGCUGAGCUUUAGUGAAUUUCUUUGACCCAUCUUUGCAUUUUGUAGCACCAGAUGUUAAACCCUCGUAAUAAUUCUCAACUGCAAUCAACAACAAAUCUUGAUGACUAUUUUCACUUAACAUCAACAAAAUCAUCAAAAACAGCUAAAUUAACAAUUAUUUCUACAGAAAAAAUUUCAUAUCACAAAAUGGGGUCAGCUGCACUUCCAUCAACAAAACUAAUCAUUAUCUCAACAGAAAAUUUGAAAAUUUCGCCCAUUUCCAUCAAAACAGCAAAAUUAACAACUAUUUCUAUAGAAAAGUAAAAGCUUUUUCUAUCCAAAUUUCAUUCACCUUGCGACUAGGAAUUAAAUUCCUUUAAAUUGUAUCUGAUUAAAUAUGUAGAUCGAUUCAUAACCUUUCAAGCACAAUCAUUUAAAAAUCACGAAACGAUUCAUCAAAAAAUAGCAAAUUUAGCAAUUAUUUAUUAAAUAUCAGCUCCAUUUGCAUCAAAAACAGCUCAAUUAACAAUCAUUUAUACUAAAAGAAUCUGAAAUCAAGAAAUGGGUCAUUAAUAGCUUCCCGAACUUCUUUAAACAUGCUCUUAUGAUGAAAAAAUGGUGAAAUAUGGUGGGAUGAAAAAAUAGGAAAGAAGGUGAUAAAAUUAAAUGAAAAAUGGGCUAAAAUAAAGUUGCCAUGCGUCAAAAAACGAGUGUUAUACACCCACUUUACUGAAUCAACAAAAAGUGUCAAAGUGACACAGUUUAUGGCUACUUUAGGUGCUUAAAAUGAACAACGCCCAUCUUAGUUGUCAAAGUGAAAGAACGUGCUAAGUUAAGGGACCUGUCAAUGUGUUUAGCCUAAAUUCAAGGUGAGGUGCCCUACUAUUUUCUUUUUUCGGAUGAUGUAGUUUUGAUUGAUAUGAUGAGGCACAUGGUGGAGUUAAUGCUAAAUUGAAGGUUUGGAGGUAAAUUUUUGAAUCUAAAAAAUUUAGAUUGAGUAGGUCCAAAACAGAAUAUUUGAUUGUAUUACUUGAUGAACUUAUAUAUGGUAUUAUUAAGUGUGUCGAUUUCUAUUAUAUCUUGUUAUUUUUUAUCUAGAUUGUUUAUCUUGAAUAGGGGAACUAUUGAAAAUAAUAUUUUUAUCUCAUCAUUGAUAUAAUAAUAUGAAUUGCAUCUACUUAUUCUUUUAGAUCCCACUUGAUAAGAAUAUAGUGAGUAUGUUAUUGUUGUAUGAAUCGUGAAAGUGAACCACAAAAAGAGAAAAAGAUGAUCACCCAAAAUGUAAAAGUGGGUUCCACAUAUAUUAAAGAAUUAAAAUAAUGAAAAAAUGUACUGUGAUAAACUAAAUUUAGGCCGGACAUUUUGUCUAAUAUCGAAAAUGUACACAUGCCUAAAAAAUUUAGAUGCAACAACGUGAACAUCCAAAAAUAAAACAUACCUAAAAUACCCCUAAAAGCACUCAUAAUUUCAUAAAGCACACAUGACAAUCAUAAGUUCUGUGCUUGCUCACAAUUCUAGUAGAUAGUAAUAAUAUGUUGGAUUACUUCAUUUUAUUUUACUUCCACAAGUAAGUCCAUAACAUAAAUUUUGAGAAACAAGAAAAUAUAAUAUGAUACUAUAUGAAGUAUUUUAAAAACAUUCAUAAUGCCUCAUCCGUUGUAUUUUAGUUGGCCGUUUUAUAAUUUCUUAAAUAUUGUGUAAAAUAAAAAGUGAUCGAUUAAAAUGGAAUGAAAAACCCGAUAACGUCAUUUUAACAUUCACAUCAACAAAUCAAUCAUGCCAAAAUAAGAGGAGGAUUUCCAGGUGGGAUCGUUGGCAAACUGCUUUCAAAACUUUAAUAGCAUUCAUCCUUUUGGGUUGGAUUUUCAUUUUAUUGUCUUGCCUCAUCCUUGAGGUUUUGAGCACGUCCACCAAUAUAUGUGGAUGCAAAAUGGAUAACUGUGUAUUCUAAUAAGCAUGGAUUUCCCAUAUUAAUUAAAAGAGAAAACGGUCAAAAGCCCCCCAACCUAUAUCCCAAAUUUCAACUACACAUUUAUACUUUGCGAGGGUCCUAUGAUCCCCUGAACUAUUUUAAAAUGAAAUUAUUACCCCUCCGAAUUAUUUUAAAGUGGAAUAUAUACCCGUCUAAAAGCUCAUACCCAGAUUUUAUUUUAAUUUGUGGUCUACAUGCGCUGCCACGUGUCAUGCCACGUAAUUCCACGGUAUAUUACUUUUUUUACUAUAAAAAAUUAAUUACUUGUCCUUUUCUCUUCUUCUUCCCGACCUAUUUGACUCUCUGGCCGUAGUUAUUUAGGUGGUAUUCCGAGAUCGAAUUCCUCCCGGGAACACACAAAACAAAGAUAUGAACUGGGUAAAUAGAAAUGGAAAAGAGAUGUUCUAUUUCAUCCAAAUUAGUUGCUUUUUCUACUAUUAGAAGUUUAGAACACAAGCCAAGAAACUCAAAACCACAACACAAGCUUCUUCUUUUUCUUCUUCAAUGGCAUAAUAAAUCAUAUGAAAUUCACACGAUAGGUAAUCUUAUCAAAAUCAAAUCAAUAAUUAAUGUCCAAAAAAAAUUCAAUUUUCACAAAAUGACGUCAAUUAAUUUUCAUAAAAUAGUCACUAUUUAUUUGUAAUUAGAACAAAAUUCUUAUUUGGACUUACUUAGUCUUUACAUAUACUCCAUGUCAUGUUGCUAAUUACCUGUUUCAAGUAAAUAAUUAAUUAAGUCGCAGGGCCAAAUUCAUCCAUAAAUCAAUUUCCAGUUAUCAAGAGAAUUAUUUUAAUAGAAAAUGGAUGGACAAACAUUUAAGCACAAACUUUUUCCUUUUGCUCUUAUCAUGGGAUUCUCAAGAUCCAACAUAUAUACUAAACCUUGUAUGUCAGUUUCCUUAAUGUUUUCACAGCCCGAAUUUAUUUUUUUCGAUGAAUUUCAGCAUUCUCAACGUCAAUCAAUUUUUGGGAAUCUAAGAAAUGAUUCUAACUAAGAAAUUAAUUCAAAAUUUUCAAUCUGAAUUGAUUUAACAUUCUCAACGUCAAUCUGAACUGGUUCUAUGAAGUCGGAACAAGUCGAUUUUAUGCUUUGAGAUGAGGAAGAUGAUAAAUUAGUCUUGAAUGUCAUUGAUGAGUUUUGGAUGCCAUUGAAGAAGAAAUGUCAUUGAUGGGUUCUUGGAUUCCACUAAAGAAGAAGAAGAAGAAGAAUUGAAGAAUAAGAAAUGAAGAAGAAGAAUUGAAGAAGAAGAAUUGAAGAAGAAGAAAGAAAAAUAAUAAUUGACAUUGAUGGGUUCUUGGAUGCCAUUGAAGAAGAAGAAGAACAAGAAUUGAAGAAGAAAAAUGAAGAAGAAGAAGAAGAAGAAAGAAAAAUAAUAAUUAAAAUUAUAUAUAUUUAUUUAAAGAAAUAUUAAAAAUAAUUUUUUAAUAAAUUAUUUUCGUUCUCACUCUCUUGCCAUGUCAGCGUUUGGGGGUAAUAAUUUCAUUUUAAAAUAGUUUAGGGAGGUUAUAGGACCCCCGCAAAAUAUAAAUGUGUAGUUGGGAUUUGGGCUAAAGAUUGGGGGGCUUUUGACCAUUUUCUUUAAUUAAAAUACCCCCUCCGUCCCAUUUUAUGUGUCGCCAUUUGACCGGGCGCGGAGUUUAAGAAAUAAGGAAAGAUUUGGUAAAAUUUACCAAAUUAUCCUUUAUAAAAAAAAAUGUCAAUAUAUUUUUUUUAAUUAAGUGGGACCAAUAAAGAUAAAAGGGUAAUUAUAUCUUCAAAAAGUUGCCAAAUAAGGAAAGACGACACUUAUUUUGGGACGAAUUAAAAAAAAAAUAAUGACACAUAAUUUGAUUACCUCUUACCAGAUUUAUUAACGUGGAGUCAUGUGAAAACUACGUAAUUAAAAUUUCUCCUUUCCUCCUAUAUUUUUAACAUACAGUGAAGUGUCACUACAUAAUAAUGAGAAAAUGUGACAUAAAAUGUGAAGCAAAGUAAUGAUUUUCUAUCUAUCUAUCUAUCUAUCUAUCUAUCUAUCUAUAUAUAUAUAUAAAAGUGUGAACACCCCUUAGAAAAGUGAUUUAAACUUUUUGCCCUUAAUUAAAAGAUUUCACAAUAGACAAAAUCGUCUUUUUACUAAAUUUCUUCAAUUAUUAUAUCAUAGUCUUUAUAUUAUUUAUUAUUAGCCAUAAUAAAUAUGUAAGAUUCACUUUUAGAUUAGAAUUCAAUAUCAAUUAAAAUAGUAUUACACGUCGUAUUUUCUUUAUUUAGAUUUAUUAUCCACUUUAGGUUAGGAUAUUCUACCAAAGUUAUCACUUUAGGUUAACUAGGACAAUAUAUAUUCUACACAAAUUUUUGUGGACUACAAAGAAAAAAAAAUUAGGUUGAGACGUUUAGGUUUCACAAUUUAAUGCCACUUUUAGUUUUAAUUUUUCUUUACUAAUUAAUUUUACUAUUACGUUAGUUUGAUUAAAAAAUUAUGUUAUAUUUUCUUUGUAUUGGUUGAUAGGAUUUGCAUGUAAUUAUUUUUGUAUGAAGGUUAGGUUUAAUUGUAUUGUUCUAACAUCUUGAUAAUUGUGUUGUUGUAGUUUCUAUCUCGUUACUAUAUGCUAUUUUUUAAAAUUAAUACAAGUGGUCAAUGAAUGUUCGAUCAGACUUUGAGUAAUUUUUGUAUAAAUUUAAGGUUUAGUUGUAUCGUUCUGACGUCUCGAUUAUCGUAUUGUUUUGUUGUUGUUUCUGUUCUAUUGAUAUCUGCCAUUUUUUCUGCUUAAUACAGGUGAUAGAUGAAUGUUUCAUCGGGCUUUGAGAAAUUAUGUGUAAAGGUUAGGUUAAAUCAUAUUGUUCUAAUAUUCGAUUACCGUAUUGUUAUUAUGUAUUUUCUGAUUUCUCGAUUAUCGUAUUGUGUUGUUGUAGUUUCUGUUUUGUUGCUAUUUGCCAUUUUUUCUGCUAAAUACAGGUGAUAGAUUAAUGUUUGAUCGGGCUUUGAGAAAUUAUGUGUAAAGAUUAGGUUAAAUCUUAUUGUUCUAAUAUUCUAUUAUCAUAUUGUUUGUUGUAUAGUUUUUAUUUGCUAUUUUUUUUUUAGUACUUCAAGUGAGAAAUGAAUGUUUGGUUGAGCUUUGAAGAAUUUUUAUGUAAAGAUUAAGUUUAAUCUUAUUGUUCUAAUAUCUUGAUUAUCUAUCCCAUUUUUAUUUUCUAUUUUUCUGCUUAAUACAUAUGGUAGAUGAAUGUUCGAAUGAGCUUUAAAAAAAAUGUGUAAAAGUUAGAUUUAAUCAUAAUUGAACAACAUAUUUAGAUGUAUUUUUAAUUUUCACUCUUAACAAAAAUAUUGUGAAAAAAAUUUCAUCAAAGAUGACUGGUUCAGUGUAUUGCCAACAAAUCGAUAAAGAGGACAAAAUAUUACACAUCUAAAAAUUGUUAGUAGCCAUUAGAUUAGGAGAGUCUAAAUCAGAAUUUUGAGGACGAGAGAAGAGUGCAUUUGGAUUAUUAGUAACAACAAAAGUAAGCUUACUUAGAACUGAGUCGUUGCGGUUUAUAGGAGGCAUAAGAAUAUUUGUUUUGUUAGGGAUAUUAACUGCACAACGAAUCUUAAACUAAGAUAUUUCAGAGGCAUCGAUAAAGAUGACAUGUAACUGAGGACAGUGAGGACGUUAUGGGCAAACUUAAGGAAAGUGGUCAUAAUUUUCUCCAUAGUUGAAUUUUGAUUCUUCUACGGAAGCUUGAAAGGAAGAGUGAACGGUUGAACACUAAAAAGUAUGUGGAAUUUGAAUAGUGUGACUUAAUUUGGAACGAAUGAGAGAUCUGACCAGUCCAUAUUAUUAUAUAUGAAUGAACAAUAUCUAAAUAGUUAACAAAAGAUUGAAACAACAAUAAAAUUUGAAUAUAAAUUCACCAAAUCUUGGACCUCUUCAUUCCAAAAGAGGUGCAAUACUAUUGUUAUUGUUUGAGAACUAUCUAUUCCUUUUUACUCAAAACAAGAAUCUUUUAAAACAUUACAAUUUAUAUUACUUUUAUUAAAAUUUAAAUAUCUAAGUAGAACAAGAAAAUCAAUACACGAUAUAAAAUCAGAUAGAGUACUUUAGAGUUUAGACAUUGUAUUCCUCUUUAGUGAUAAAUUCCUAUAUGACUCUCAAUAAUUUUAAUAAUAUCCUAUUUACUAGAACAAAUCCACCAACAAAUUCUUUAAAAUUAAUAGUGAUAGGAGUCACAAAGAUAAUUUAAGUGGAUGAUGAUGAUGAUAAAAGAUUCAAAGGAAAGAUGAUAAUGACCUAUUCUAUUCACUUUCACGAGUAAUAUUGCAGAAGUUAAAACUCUACAAUUUGAGGUUCAAUGAUAUAUAACAUAUCCAAGGCUUAUCUCUUUCUCUUUUUCUUCUUUGCUUAAAUAAGAAAAAAGUUGACUUUGCAAUGUUAGUUGCAGUAUGAAGUUUGUCAUGUCUCCAUGAUAAGUUACAUAAAAAUUAGGGAUGAGAUAAUAUAUAAAUAUGACUCUAAAUUUGACACCAAAUUAUAAUUUUGACCUUAAACUUUGAUAGUACACAAAUAGGACCUUUAACUAUUCAGAACCUGAACGAAUAUGACCUCCGAUUUUGCAACCUUCAUGCGUGAGUUUCACUCGCGCCUAUGUGGAAAAGUAAUCCAAUCACACUAUGUCACAUCGUUAAAAGGGCUGACUUGGAGGGAGAUCAUAUUUGUGCAAUUUUGAAUAGUUAAAGGUCAUAUUUGUGCACUGUCAAAGUUUUAUUUUUUGUGUUAAAACAACGUCGUUUUUAUUAUUAUUAUUAUUAUUAUUAUUAUUAUUAUUAUUAUUAUUAUUAUUAUUAUUAUUUAUUUAUUUAUUUAUUUAGGGAUCGAACCCACGCAGUAGGCUGAAGGAAGCACCCAAGAAGAGCAAACAACACCACUGGGCUAUCUAAGUGUCUUGUUUCAUGUGGUUCAACAUUAAUAUACGUACAUAAAUAUAGAUUUUCUACCUUAUAUAUACAAUGUCAUUUUUUUACCGAGGGGCUUCGGGUGAACCCCAUGACAACCACUUAGGUCCGCCCCUGCGUUAAUUUAAUAACAUUUUAAUAACGUUAAUUUGAUAACAUUAAUUUAAUAUACUACUACUAGUAUCCUUAAUAAUGUUAAUUUAAUAACGUUUUAUUAAAACUAUAGUUUUUUUUUAUUAUUAGUAUAGUUUCAUCUUUAAUUUAAUAGUUAAAUAAAUUAUAUUUAGAUAUAUUAUAUAACUUAAAUUCACCUUUUGCUUUAUAAUAUAUAUACAUACCUGUGCGAUUUUUUCGUAUGAGGUUGACCCACCUGUUUAAUAAAUCUUCAAUAUUGCUCUUUUUCUGCAAUGACAAAAGAAAUUAGAUGUCAUUUUAAUCUUUGAGCCGAAAAUAAUGAAUAAAUAAUAGUGAAAAGUCAUUUAAAGGUUAUAUUUGUGCAGUUUUGAAUAGUUAAAGGUUAUAUUUGUGCACUGUCAAAGUUUAAGGUCAAAGUUAUAAUUUGGUGUCAAGUUUAGGGUCAUAUUUAUGUAUUAUGCCCUUAGAUUUUAAGCUGGACGUGCCCAGUUUUGCGUGUUGAAUACGCAUUUUACCACGUAGGAUCGGAGGUCAUAUUUGUGCAGUUUUGAAUAGUUAAAGGUCAUAUUUGUGCACUGUCAAAGUUUAAGGUCAAAGUUAUAAUUUGGUGUCAAGUUUAGGGUUAUAUUAUGUAUUAUCUCAUCAGGGAUUGUAUCUCACCCUUAUAAAUAGGUAUCGUGCAUUUUUAUCAUUAAUUUAAUAUUGGUAAUUCUUCUUUUAUUUUCCAUCGUUAUCAUUGUCGUCGCCUUUUGAAACUCUUCUAAGUAGACAGUUGCCAAAAGUAAAAAAGAGUUACUGAUUUAAAAAAGAUAAUUAUUGUUUUGGAUAACUAAGAAACAUAAUUAAAAAAAAUAAAAAAUGGAGGUGAAUGUGAGAGAAAGCCUCAAAAAUCCUAUUGUUCUCCUUACACAAAGUUGUAUAAAUAUUUAUUUUGAUCUUCUAUGGGUAGUAUAGGUAGAAUAAGAACAUAGAGAGGCCAACUUAAAUAUCAUAGACUGCUCAGAUUUUCACAAUCUUGAAAAAUAUUAGUUUCAAAAAAAUUUCAUACUCUUAUAAUGUAAAAAUGUUUUCAGAUUUCAUUUGUGUUAUCAUAUGUUUUUAGUAACUCGGAAAAGGAAAGACUAAAGUUUGUAAUAAUGAGACGAGUAAAUAUAGUUGUAAGAGGCGAGCGGGUGAUAACUUAAUAGUGAUUGUUAAUUGAAAAAUGGAAUUUGAGAUUGUAUGUAUCCUUAAAAUUUGAAUUUUUUUUUGUCUUAGUUCAUUUUUCGGUUGUAUGACCACAUAGGAACAAACAUCCACAUAAUCAAUAGUCUCACUGGUUCAAUUUAGUUUUGAUUUCAUUUCUUUUGAGUCGAGAAUCUAUUAAAAACAGUCUAUGAUUGUGUAGUCAUAUGAGAUCAUUGCUUCCACAAGCAUUAAUAAUUUCACUGGUUCAAUUCUGCUUUGAUUUUAUUUCUUUUGAGCUGAAGAUCUAUCAAAAAUAGUCUCUUUACCUCACAGAGAUAGGCGCCUCACAAAAGAAAGGGUAAGCUCUGUACAUUCUACCCUCUACUUGCGGGAAAAAUGUCUUUUUACAUCAUAGAGAUAGGGGUUUCACAAAAGAAAUGAUAAGAUCUACGUAUAUUUUAUCCUCUACUUAUACGAUUACACUAGAUAUCUUAUUGUCGUUGUGUUAUUACUUUUAAAUUAUUUUAUUUUUCUUGCAUGGAGUAUAAUUUUACUUAUUAACACGACAUACACGUGCAAAGCACGUAUACUAAACUAGUAACAAAAAAUAGGUGAGGGAAAAAAAAUAGUAAUGCUAGUGAAGGUAGGUAUCCUAGUUUAUUUUUAUGUGAUCCUAGAUUUAAGAAGCAAAAUUUAUUAAUGGAGUACGCAGGUUUCUUAGAUUUUCUUAGUGGUCCUAUGAAGCGUGCAUUACGAAGACGGGCGGGCGGUUCAGUUUUUUCGUUUGGUUUUUCGGAAUUUUGAUCCUAUUUUUCGGUUUUCUUUUAUGAAAGGGAUAGCAAAAUUGAACCGAAUUAGUUAUCCAGUACGGUUCAGUUCAGUUUGAUUUUUUUUAUUAUGAAUCUACUGGUUGGAAUAUCACUGGAAAUUGGUUGGAAUCGUGCUGGACACAAAAAAAAAAAAAAAAAUUGAUUCAAAAUGGACUACUAUAUAACAGCAAACAGCCAUCAGGAGUCUAGAACAACACUUACACUGAAAAAAAAUUGAACACAAGUAGAAAAAAGAGAAAACUAGCUUAUACUGAUGUGACUAGAAGAGUGAUUCAAAACGUCAUUAAGAUUAUUAUUAUGAAGUGAUAAGUACUUCUAUGUUUUUAAUCAAAGAUUUUUGAUUUGAGCUUUGAGAAUUCACCUUUGGUAGAAAUUGUUUUACUCUCAUAGUAAGACUUUCCGACACAAACUCACAUUAGUCUAACUCAAAUACAAACACGAACCCCACAUAAAAAAAACAAAAGAACGACAUUAUUCAAAACAUGAUUAAAAGGACCACAUUGAGUGAUGUUUGAUUGGAUGGCUAAACUUGUCCUUAUUGCCUGUGUCAACUUUUAAGGUUCUAUAUUCGAACCUCAGGCCUCAGCCACUCAACGGUAUAGUACUCUCUCUAUGUUCCAAUUUAUUUUUUUAGUUCUAAUUUAGUAUUGACUAUAAAAAAAAAAGUUAAAUUUUGUGGUUUUAAAUUAAAAAUAUGUAGAAUAUAUCAAAAUAUUUUUAAAAUUAUGUAAUUUUAAACAUGUCACAUGAAAAAUAGAACUAGCUAUAAGUUACCCAAAGAAAAAAGAAUUCUCACGCAUAUAAAAUAAAUCAAAUUAUCCAGGAUAAUCCCUUAACAAAUGGAUCUAGCCAGCUUAGCUUGUUGGAUAAUAUGCACAUACCUUAAUUUAUUAAUACUGUUCAAGUAGAACUUUUAGUAGUGAUUUUUAUCCUUUGAAGCCAUACAAUACAUGCACUAAGAUAUUGUCCUUUCUUUAUCGAAACGAAGAUAUAUAGCAUAAUUUAUAGUAAUAUAUAUCCAGGUGAAUUACAGCCAAAUUUUAAACUAAAGUUACCCAAGUAUAUAUUUAGAGUACAUCUAUAGCGAGUGAUGCUGCUUUUUAUACCAAUAUAUAGCUAUCAAAGUUCUCCAUGAGAUUGAGAGUAAUAACAAAACAAAAUUAGUAUCUACGAAGCGGACUCACUAUUGUUGAGGCGUAAGCGUAUUCCCUUGAAAAUUUUCCUAUAUAUACAUCGUCAUCAUGAUACACCUCUUAUAACAAUCCACAAAAUGAGAGAGAUUAUAAUUAGCCUUUUAUCUCUGGCUUUGUUCCUCCUUAAGGUCUCAGCCAAGCUAUCUGAUGUUCCCUUUUAUUUACCAGCCAAUGAAACCCUUGGCCUUAAACUAAUAAGGGAACGUAAUACGUCAGACCUAGCCCAGUCAUUAUUAGCACAGAGUCGAUGCGGAUGGCCAGGUGGCGGUAGAUCGUGUCCUACUGGACAGUGUUGUGAUUUUGAUGGUUGGUGUGGAACCGGUGAUGCCUAUUGUGAUGAAGAUGAGUGUGAUUUCCAGUGUCCAGGUCCGAUCCCAGUGGGACGAUGCGGAAUGCAAGCAGGUGGUCGACCAUGUCCUACUGGACAGUGUUGUCGGGAUUCAGGUUGGUGUGGAACCACAGAAGAAUAUUGUAAUCCUCUACGCUGUCAAAGCCAAUGUUCAGGACCUUAUCCAUCGGGACGUUGUGGAUGGCAAGCUGGUGGGAGGAAAUGUCCUACUGGAUUAUGUUGUAGUCUCUCUGGUUGGUGUGGAACCACUUCAAUCUAUUGUUCUCGUGAAGAAUGUCAAAGUCAGUGAGAAAGGCCACCACCACCCCCGUCUCCACCACCCCCACCCCCACCAUUCCCACAGGGACGAUGCGGAAAGCAAGCUGCUGGUAGAGCAUGUCCUACUGGAGUGUGCUGUAGUAUAUGGGGCUGGUGUGGAACCACACGUAACUACUGUGUUUCUCCCUACUGUCAAAGUCAGUGCAAGGGCGGUCUAACCUCGUACAACAAGAAUCGCUUCAGAGGCAUUGAAAGCUUAUUGCUCAAUGCUCUCUAGAUGCUUGCUGCCUUCUGUAUUCCCUAGACCAUGUACUUCUACUCCUCUUUUGGGACUGGA
rnacentral:lncRNA from 1 species